UAUUCAAUGGAAGACGAGUUGAAUUAAACUCAGUUGCAAAAUUUUGAACAGACACCAUUGAGCUUAAAUCUAACUUCAUCACAUCAACUUUAGCUGUUGGAAUUUCCUUAAGUAUUGAUUUCUUCAAAUUAUUUGCAUCAAUCAUAUCAAUCACUCCCAUAAUCACAUGCACACCACGCAAUGCAAGAACACGAGCAGUUUCAGCACCAAUACCACUUGAUGCACCUAUUGUGCUUUCAAACAACAACAACUACAAUUAAAAAGUGUGUGUAUGCAACAAACAAACAAAAAAGAAUAGUUUUUUUUUUUAAUUUUAUUUAAUAUAUAUACAUUAUCAAAAUUUAAAUUCAAGAAAAUAUGACAUUUUCUUAAAAGAUAGUCUUGUACCUAAGUUGCAUAGUGCUGAACUCAGUUAACAUCUAAGCAAUUUUGGCUAACCCUCAAUUGUAAGGUUGAGGUAGUUUGUUUGGAAAAUUAUGUCUUAGACCCAAUUUGAAACAGUUACUCCCUACCUUGUUCAAUGAUUUCCACUUGCAUUGGAUGCAUAUUGUUUUUCUAAUUAAGUGUUUUUCUGUCUAAAAGCUUUUAUAAUUUAAGGGUUUAAUUUAAGUUUUAAGUCAUUUAAGUAUUUUUUUAUUAAGUUUUUAUUAAAAAAAUUGUUUUAAUGAGUACUGAGAAGUGGCUAAUUUCAGUAAUAUUUUAUAUUAAAAUAUAGGCACUUAUGAGUAUUAAUUGUUAAUUUAUAUAUAAAAUAAUUCCUAAUUUAUGAAUAAGAGCAUUUUAUUCCCAAAUUUGGUGUUAAUUUCAGUUUUCUAGGGUAGAAUGGAGAUUUGUUCUAAAGAGGAAUGAUAUAAGCUAAAAAGAGAAAGUUGGAAGGUCUCAGGAUGUAUAAAAGUGCCAAAAAAGCCAACUUUGCAACAGGAGAUCUCGCUUGAGCAGGAAUGCUCCAAGGGCGUUUUCGAAAAUCGACGCCUUUCUCGCUCAAGCGAGAAUGUGUCAGAUUAAUUGGGCUAAUUUUAUGUUUUAUGAACCAACCCAUCAGCGUGACGUAGGAAGUCACCUAACUCUAGUAAAUUAGAUUAAAUAGGGGGCUAGAGGCUCAACCCUAGUGUGCCAGAUCGAGAAGAAAACAUCAUUGAGUGAUUUGUAACCAAUUGGGAGAAUGGAAGGUGCUAGAAAUAUGCGUAGCUAGUUCUACCAUUUGGGAUUGUGAGUAAUCUGUUCGAACUCUUAUGUAUUGAGAUGAUAUUUAAAUAUGAUACAAUAUUCUAUUCUUGAUUGAUUAUUGGUAUUGUUGUUUUGCUUCUAAAUAGUUGUGACAUGUUUGAGAAUCUUAAAUUUGACUGGAAAGUAUUUUUAGGGUUCUCACCUAAACAACAAUAAUUAACAUAUUUGAGUGUUAGGAAUAGACUUGAAAUGUUAAUUGUUAUUAACGUCUAAACGUGAUUAUAAGUUGUUUUUGUAAAUAUGCGAGAAAUCGAUAUUUAGGAAACAUUCUUAAUAAUUUUAUAUGCGGGGAAUCAGUGUAAAUGACUUUUCUACGGGCAUCAAUUUCAACCAAAGAACAUAAUGUUAACAUGCUAAUCAAAAUACAUUAGAGUGAGAAAAGAUGAAACAUAAUCCCUAUUUUUCCAAAUUGAAGCAACCAAUUUUUUUCUAUUUUCUUAUUGAUCAUCGCCAACAUAACCACUUUCAACACACUUUUUAUUGUUUUGUUUUAUAUUUAGCGAAUAUUCUACUUGAUAAUUCAACUGUUCCUCAUGGGAUCGAUAUUCGUCCUUAGGGACAAAUUAUUACUUCUGACAAUGUGGUGCACUUGCCAUAAAAGUCAUCAAGUACUUAAAAAAUUUAUAUUUUUCAUUUGAAUUUGUGUCAUUUAAUUUUUCUAUUCGUUAGGUAACACAAGUAUUAUCUUACUCUGUCAUCUUGCUUACUUGUAUUCAUGUGUUAAUAAAUGUGAGGUUUUGCAGUUAAUAUAAAAUGAUAUUAUUAUUAAUGUAAAACAAAAAAGUGACUUGUAUUGAUUUCAUUGAAAAUGUGUUGAUAAGAAUGUUGUCAUACUCCCUUAUGGCUUCCACAUCAUCAUGACCAAAGAACCGUCGUCAUCACCUAUAGGUUACGAUAUUGGCCUUUUGGUCAUUGUAGGUGACAACAAUGAUCUUUUGGUCUCUAUAGAUGAUGAUGUGAACGUCAUCGGGGAGCAUAACGAUCUCAAUAUCUAACACAUUUUCAAUGCAGUAAUAGUCACUUGUCAUUUUACAUUAACCGUGAUAUCAUUUUAUAUUAAUCACAAAAUAUCACAUCACAUUUCUUAACACGUGAAGACCAGUAAACAAUAUGAUGGAGUAAAAUAACAGUCAUGUCACUUAAUUAAAGGAAAAAUUAAAUAGCAAGGAUUAAAUUAGAAAAUAUAGAAAUUGUGACUACUCAGUAAAAAAAAACAAAAAUAAUAGAAACUCAAUUAAAAAUACUCAAAAUUAUAAGGGAAUUGAAACUUAACUAAGCCUAUGGGGGAGUUUAUUGGGGGUUUCUCUGCAUUUCUUAAUAUUUAGACUACUUUGAUUGUUGAGUUUUAUGGAAUUAUAUAUGCUCUGAAGGAAGUUCAAAAGAUGGGUUUACUAAUGUAUGGCUUGAAUGUGAUUUGUCUUGUUUUGUGUUACGUUUACUGCUAGGACUACUGUUUUUUGGAUGCUUCAUAAUCGAUUGAAUACUUGUCUUAAUUAUUAUGGGAAAAUCAGGUUUAGGGUUACUCAUAUUUUUCGUGAAGGGAAUGCGUUGGCUAACUUAGGAUUUAUUCAUAGAGAAUAAUAUCAUUGGUAUAAUAGGCUUUCAUCUAGUUUGUUCAUGGAAUUCUUUAUGAAUAGGUAUAAUUUACCUAUGUAUCAUUUUUAUUAACAUAUGGGUUUUGGUCUAGUCCCCCAUAGUUUUAUUAUAUUUUUUUUUUCUUUUUCCUUUUUGUAAUAAUAUUUUUUCGUGUGAUAUCAGAUGAUUGUUGUUACUUGAGGUGCCAUCAUAACUGAGAUGUCAAGUUGCAUAGUGAUACCUAUUUAUAAAAAAAAUAAGCCUAAUUUAAUUAGAUAAAAAAAUUCUCCCAUUUUUACGAAAUUAAAAUAAAAUCAAUUUUAGUUAUUUUUUGUUUUAAAUAAUUUUAUUUUUAAAAUUUUGUAUUUGAAUAAAGACAUUUAAAUUUAUUAAAUUUAUGGUAUCAAAUAUAAAAAUUUAUUUUCCUAUUAAAUAUUUUAAUAAAUUAAAAUAUUAGUUAGAGAGUUAUUUAAUCAAGGUCUACAAGCUUUUUUAAGUUGACUUAGAAAAAAACCUAAAUUAAUAUAGAUUAGGUUUUUUUACAAUAUUAGUUAAAGUUGUUCUAAAUUAUUUCAAUUACUAAUUAAAGUUAUUUUUUUACAAUGUGUCCCCAAACUAACAUUCACUAACACAAUCUUAAACAAAAUAAUGAAAAAUAUUUUUAAAUUAACAUCUAAUUUUAGCUAAUAAAAUUUUAAUUAUAAAUCAUUUUAAAAUUUAAAUUAGUUACUAAUUUAAUUAAAGAUGGAUUUAAAAUGUAUAGUUAGUAAAUAAAAUAUUAAUUAAUGUAAACUUUUAAUUUAAAAAUUUGCUUAUAAAUUUUAUUAAUAACAAAAAUUACUUUAAAUAUUAAUAAUUUUUAGUUUAUAAAAUAAUAUUAAAUUUAAUCAAUAUAAUUAUUAAUUAUUUUUAUUUUAAAAUUAAUUAUUUGAUAAAAAAAUUAGUUAACACAUCUAAUUAACAACUUGAUGUGGAUAAUCAAUAUUUUAAUUUAAAAAGAAAAUAUAUCAUUAAAAUAUUAAAAUAAUAAGUUGUGAAGGUAUUAAUGCUCUAUUUUUAAAUAUUUGAAAUUUAUUUUUUAUAUGCAUUAUUAUUUUUUCAUUAUCUUAAUACAUUUACUCGUGAAAUGGUAGCAUGUCUCCCCUUUCGCGUAAAAAUCAAGGGCGAUGGUUUGAGAAUACCAUGACAGAAGCUUACUAUCGACUUUCAUUGAAAAAAAAGACAUAAUUAAAUUUAGUCUCUGAGGUAAAAAGAUCAAUGCAUUAACUCUUUACUCAAGGAAAAAUGAUUCAGUGAAAUUCUAACAGAAAUUUAAUUUUCAAUGACUAAAUUGGAGAGACAAUCUGAUAAAAAAGUAUUUCAAAUAUUUGUUUAUUAAAAUCUAAUUUUAUUUUUUUAUAUUUCAUAAGAUAAUAAUUGUUUCUUUACCUUUUUCUUUAAUUAACAUGUAAUGAUAUGAAAAAUAUGAUGAGUGUUGAAUAGAAAAUGAAAAAGCAGUGAGAAAGAGAAAAAGAGCGACCUGUGACAAUUGCAGUGAGAGCGGUAGCAUGGAUCCCUUGAGUAACUUGGAGUGCAGUGGAAGAUGAUGAAAACCCAGAAACUCCUUUUCUACUCAAUCCCCACAUUUUUCUUUCCUGCGUCAAACUCGCUAUGUUGUAUCUUCUGUAUAUUGAUUGCAGGAAUGCAGAAGCAAGCAGUUGCUGAUAUAUAUAUAAAUAUAUGUGUGUGCAGGAACAUCUACACAAAUCAUAAAUGUUACAGCUAGAUACCCCUCCAUUGUGAAUAUUUUAUUAACAUUAUUUACAUUAUAAGAAGGGGUGGUCAACUCUAGAUGGAAUCUAGAUCUAAUAAAAUGAUUUGGAUUCCAAAAUUUAUAUUAUUUUAAUUAGAUUAAAUUUAUUUGAAUUUUUUCAAACUCAAUUAAAAUAAAUUAAAUCUAUAUUAAAUUUACUUUAUUAAUUAAAUUAAAUUUAUUUUAUUAAUUAGAUUAAAUCCAUAUCGAUUUGAGUCUUGAUCGAUUCAGUUUGAAACAGAUCCGAGAACCUAGUCGACUCGGUUCGAUAAGGGUCCAGACUGACUCGACUCAAUCUGGACCUGAGUCGACUUCGCUUAAUAUGGGCCCGGUCUCGACUCAAACUUCAUCCGAAGGGACUCAUCAAGACAUGGGUUCGAGCUGACUCAACUUGAUAUGGGCACGGGCUGCCUCGGCUCAACAUGGACCCGGACCGACUCGACUUCAGCUCUAGCCGACUCGACUUGACCUGGUCUUGAGCCAGGCCGAGUCGGAUCAACAUAGGUUUGAGUCGACUCGGAUCGAUAAGGGCCCAGACCAACAUGGCUCAAUAUUGUCCCCGGCUGACUCAUAUCGACAUGGGCCCGAGUCAACUCGAAUCAACAUGGGUCUGAGUCAACUCGGAUCGACACGGGCUUGGGCCGACUCGUCUCUAUAUGGGUCCGGAUCGACUUUGCUUGACAUUAUCCCAAACCAACUCGACUUCGACCCGGACUGACUCGACUCGACAUCAGCACGGGCCGCCUCGACUCGACUUGGGCUCUAGUCCACUCACCUCGACUUGGGCCCGGGUUGACUCGGGUCGACUUUGUCUUGGGCCAACUCGACUCAAUUUUAGCCUGGAUCGACUAGACUCGACUUGGGCCCGAACCGACUCGGCUCGACUUUGACCCAUACUGACUCAGCUCGACUUGGGCGUUGGCCGACUCGGAUCGACAUGGACUCUGUUCAACUUUGCUCGACCUGGGUCUGGAUUGACUCAGCUCAACCUAAGCCUAAGCCAAGUCAAAAUCCAACCCAAAAUCCAUUUUGGAUAAUCAAAAAAUGUAUGCAAUAUGUAUCUAAUCCAUAUCCAAUUAAAUGGAUUGAAAUUAAAAUCCAAAAAUAUGGAUUUGGAUUUAAGAUAAAUCCAUUUAAAUUGAUUAAAAGUAAUAUGAUAUUGGAUAAUUAUGAAUUGGAUUUCACAAUUUGAAUUUUUUUUUAACCUUAAUUAUAAGUUUUAGUUUUUUUUUUCCUCAUAUUGUUUUUCAUAUAUAUACAUAUAUAUAUAUAUAUAUAUAUAAUAUUAAUUUACAAAAUGGUAUUAUAACUUCCAUAUUUAAAUUUGAAAUAUAUUAUAAUAAAAUCAUUAAAUAAAAAUUAAUUCUAAAGAUUAAAUAUAAUUAGUUACUAUAUUAAUUAAAUUAAAUAUAAUUUUAAAUAUUAAAAAAUUAUUGAUAUUUAAAAUAAUUUCUAUUAUUAAUAAAUAAUUUUUAAACUAUUAAUAAGUAAUUAAAUACAAAUUUAAAAAUUAUUUAAUAAUAAUUGUUGAAAAUCCCACGUCGACUAGAGAUGCGAAUAUUUCAUUGAAUAUAAGUGAGUGCAAACCUCAUCCUAUGAGUUGGUUUUGUGGAUUGAGUUAGGCUUAAAGUCCACUUUGUAAUAAUAAUACAAAUUAUUUUAAAUAUUAAUUAUUUUUUAUAUAAUAAUUAAUUAUUUUUAAUUUUUAAAAUUAGUUUUUUUAAUAAUUUUCUUAAUGAUAGAGUAAAUAGUGUAGUAUUAUUUAAAAUUAGUAAAUAGUCAAGUAAAUAAAGUUAAUCAAUAGAUAUGUUAUAACCUAGUUUUAAUUUUUAUAUAGUAAUAAUAAUAUAAAACUCUUGUUUUAUUUAUUUAUUUACGUUUAGGUAUAAUCAUGAAUUCUUUAUCUCCCUCAGUUUAAAAUGCAUAUAUGAGGGAUGACAUUUGUUGCUGAUAUUUAUGUUUGGAGAAUAUAACACCCCAGAAAAUAACAUCUAACUAUUACAAUACAAGUUCUACGUAUUUCUAUACAAACUUGGAGUUUUUCAAAACAUUCCUAAUACAUGAUUAGGAUUUAUAGAAAUACAAAUAUUUACAUAUCCAUAACUCAAAAUAAAACUCUGAAACCUCUAAGGCUUUCCUGCACCUAUAUGAUCAUCUGCUCGUGUACAUAGUACAGUCAUCGCAGUUUAAACACAACACAAAAAGCAAGGGUAAGCUAGUGAAAAUAAAAUUUUAUAAUAUACAAAAUUAAAUUAAAAUAGAAAAUCAAAUUACAUGGCCAAUUUCUCAAAUUAUUCAAUUUUCUUCAAAUCUCAACAAUAAACAAUCACAUAGAUCUCACAUGGAUCUACAUAUCCAGAAUAUUCAACAAACAAUGUCUUCCGGAAGACCCGUAUUAAGUAAGUCAUACCAGAGACUAACACCUGAUCCAAAGAUUACCAGCGAAUCCAACAGAAAGGAUCAGGGUAAGUUCAAUACAACCCAAGUCAUGCAUCUCAUAUGUCACGGUGUGCAUGAAUUCCCCCAUCAACUUCUCACCACCUGAUAUCUUAGUCUAUGUGACUUAGAUCAUCAGUGAAGCUCGAAGAUCUUUGUUACCACAUAGGCAUCAAUACCUAAUACACAACAAACAUCAGUCCAUACAUUAUCCCAAAUGUAUGAAUUCAAUUCCAUACCAUUCCGUCAUACAAUAUCAUUAAAAAAUGAUCCACAAUAUUAAAAAGUCUAUUUGACAUAAAAAAUAACACUUUAAUACUAAAUCAUCAAAACCGAAUAUUUCCACAAAUUUAAAUAAUAUAUAAACAAACAACCCAAUAUAUAUAAACACACAACAUCCCUCCAAGAGAAAUUGAAUAUUGGGACCACGUCUCUUCCGCAUUCAGAUCUUCUAUCCUAGGGUGCUAUUAAAAAUUAAAUUUAGCUGCCCUUACCUCAAUUGCUUGCUUUCCAAGCAACUUUUAGAAUUUUAUUCCCCACCGUUUGGAUAAGCUUCAAGAUUUACGGGCCUAAUGCAAAUUAUCCAAACAGAACAAAAAUUCAGUAUGUAAUAGAAUAAGUUGAGAGGAUUAAACUUCUCAAAUGACCCCACCAAGAUUGAUGACUAAAUCCUAAGGAAAAAAAGAGAACAAAGGAUAUUUAGAGUAAAAAUGAACUUAGUCUGUUUAAAAAUCUGAUCGAGUAGAAAUGUUUCUUAACUCCUCUACUACAGCUUGGUAUGAUCAGAUUCUAAAAUAGAUGAAGAUUGGGAGAGAAAUUAAAAGAGAGGGAGAGAAGAGAAUAUGGAGAGAGAGAGGAAUGGAGAUAAGGAAGGAAAAAAAAUGCAUGCUGGGCUUCUGUUUCUGUUUUUAAAAAGUGCUGUUACAUUAUCUCCAACUACAAAAAUUUUCUUCCUAUGCUACAUAAAUAAUAAGUGUUGGAACACUUAAAAAAAAAUCCUAGCUUGAAGGUGUUAAUUUUGUUUGUUGGUGCGUCUAGGUUUUUAUGAUUUUUACUAAAUAAAUUAAAUUUAUAUAGGAAUUCUAUAUCAUUUGGUAACACUACAUUAAAUCAUUUUGUAACAAUACAUUAUUUAUCAUUAUUACUAUUGUUAAGUUUAACAUUCUCAACUUAUAAUAUAUUACUUUUCGAAUAUAAUAUUUUAAAUUCCAUUAUUGUUAUUAAAUGAUUUCAAUAUUUUAUUUUACACAUUUUGAUUUUAUAACAUAAAAUAGAUACUUCAGACUGUGUGAAAGACUUUUUUUUCUAAAUACCUUUUAUUUGAUUAACUAUGCAAGGUAAAGAAUUUAAGACUUCUUCUACUCAUCUUUGUAUGAUGAAUUCUAAAAAACUUCAUAACUUAAUUAGGUGAAUUUAGGGUUUAGGUGAGUUACAUUUUAUGAGCUAAAACAUAAAAUACACAUUAGAAUAUUUGUUUAAGUGCUGAAUAAGGUUAUUGAGGAUUUUAGAUCAACUAAAUUGGUAUAAGGCUCUUUUGUGUCUGUAUAAGUUAAAUAGAAAAUUGUGAGUCAAACCAUUUUCAAACAACUUUCAUUCACCCUAUAUAAGAUUUGCCCUUUUUUUCUAAGCUCAGAAGUGGUUUACCAUAUUUAAGCUAAAAAUAUCAUAAUUCAAAAUACUCACAAUGGAUAACGUCACUUAUAACAUCUCUAUAUUUUUUUUCCAUAUUUAAUAUUAUAAUAUGCGUGAAUUUUCAAUGUAUAGUAGUUCAAGUUAUAUUUGUCUUCAUAUAAUUUUUUUACAGACAUCAACAAGUUUUCUUUAUAUAUAUAUAUAUAUAUAUUUCAUCUGUUCAUUGGGAAUAUUUCUCUCCGCAGUCUGAUUUGCUCCUGUGUAAAAUACACGAUUAUCACAGAUAAAAAAAGCAAAACAUAACAAAAACAAGGUAAGCUAGCUGGAAAAAAAUUUGCUAUAUAAAUUCAAUUUCAAUUAACAUAAAGUCAUCAACUUUCAUACAUUUUCUCAAAAUCCGUCAAGUGUCUAUCAUAAUUCAUCUUUCAUAUUACUCAGGUCAGACUUCCAUUGACUAACAUACUUAGACACUUGACUCUACUUUCAAAAGACUCGUGCAUUGACUUAGACUAAAAGAUCUACACCUGUCAUACUAUCUCACUGUUAAAUCCACACAACUAUGCACAUAAAUAAUCUCAAUAUCAUCUUUUCUAGUAUAACAGGGUUAACUCAUAUAAUAGGUCAAGUUAGUUAUCCUUCAAACAAAUUACCAAUUCAGAUGACCUUCUUCAACUCUCACCAUCUGAAUAAUUUCAUCUAUAUUUUUCAUUAUAUUAGGAGAGUCAAGAUAUCUUUUUCUAGAUGAAUCCCUAGACAAUACCCCAAUUUUCGCUUGAGCGAAAAUGGACCCGAGAGCACCUCAUAUUUUCAUUCUAUUCUCGCUUGAGUGAUAAUCUUCUUGCUUAGGCGAUAUAUGCAAAAAACAAUUUGUACAAUAUGAUCUAUUUCACAUUUUCAUCCAAAAAUUUCAAUCAUAUUGUUAUGUUAUCAAAUAUACUAAACCAAAGUAACAAAUUCUCUACUAGAGUUGGAUAAUUACUCUAAUAUAGCUAUUUCAUAAAUCUAUAAUACCAUAUUCCAAUAUCUCUAAAUCAAAAUAACCAAUACUCAGCAAACAUUACCCUUUAAGUGAUUUAUCAAACUAUUCAAAUACAUUCAUUUACUUAUUCUAGUUUCAUUGUCUCCUUGACUGGUUCAGUUAUACCAGUUUUCUUUGAAGGUUUCUCAGCUUCUGAUUCUAGUUUCACUGUCUCCUCGACUGGUUCAUCAUUUAUACCAAAUGAUGCUGAUGAGCUCCUAUUUAUUCUUAUUAUGUUAGUCUUUUAAUAACUUGCGAGAAAUACUUCCUUGCAAGUUUUCAAUUAUCCAAGGAGUAUUUAUUUUCUUUGUCUCCUGUUUUGUUCUGCCCCGAAGGAUUUAUUACUCAUUCAGGUUUAAUCUAGUCUCUCCUCUGUCUCUCUAAUAAAGAUAGUUUUGCGUGGGUCACGGGGCUCCCUCUUUUGUAUAACCUAAAGCUUUAUUUAGCAUACGCAUGACAUUAUACACCUUUACUAAUCCAGGUUAGUGACUUUGAUUGCUUUCCUCUCUGUUUGACUAUAUUGUCUCGCACUUGCGUUCCAUUAAACAUCCCCUCAUCACAGGUUCAUACUAUUAUCCCUCUUUAAUAAUAAAAUCUUACCUGUGGAAGUGGUUACUUAUUUAAUAGUUUUUUCCCCUUCUAAUAGGCAUAAAAAAUGGAAUGGAAGAAGUAUUAAUAUGGGUGCAGUUUUUGUUGAUAUAAAUUAUAUUUCUUACAUUUCAUAAAUUUAUUGUUGUUACAUUUUUUUUUCCUUUUUUUUCUUACAUAUUCUUAAGAAAAAUAAAGUGAAGAAUGACAGUGUGUAAUACUUUAAAUUAGGUUUUAAAUUAGGAACCGAAAAAAAAAGAAAAGAAAUGUAAUGUGAUGUUUAUUUAUUAGGAGAAAAAGAGCGAAAAAAAAUGUUAAUUAGAAUUUUUUAAGUUAAUUAAAUUUUGUAAGUGAAUUAUUAGUAGCAUCCUUGGAUUGUUGCUAGGUAGUUUAAAUUGGUGGAGUUCAUUUGCUGAGAGGAGAGUUCACAUGACAAAUAUUUGUUUUUUUUUUUAUUGUGUUUAUUUAAUUUUGGAUUUUUUUUUUUGAAGUUGUUGGGAAUGGAGUAAGUGUAUACAUUUUUGUUUAAACUAUUUUGUGAAUUAUCUGUUUUGCGAUAAUAUUUUGUGUACUUGAAUUUGACUACUUUGAUUCUUCCAAUUGCAUGUUCACAUUUCUAAUUUAGAUAUGUUUAGUUACAUUUUUAUUAAUUUUUUAUUUAAUAAUUUCCUUGGAAAUUCCUUUUCUAAGUCUACCAAUAUAAUAAUAAAUUUAGUUUUUGGGAUUCAUUUGUGAUCAUUGAACACAUAACGAGAAUAUGCAGAGUUGGAUAAAUUAUAAUUGCACAACUGAUGAAUAUGAGAGCGGUGUAGAACAAUUUAUUGAAUUUGCCUCGAGGAAUGUUCAAGAUAAUAAUGGAAUAUUCUAUUGUCCAUGUGUUAAUUGUUUAAAUGAGCGAAGACUACCAAUUGAAGUAAUACGAGAGCACGUUUUAUGUGAUGGAUUCCUAAAGAGUUACACAAAGUGGAUAUGGCAUGGGGAAUUAAUAGACAUGCUAAGUGCUCAUGUGUCUCGAACAUAAGUAGAAGAAGAAGGGGAUUUGGAGAUGGAAGAUCGGCUAGAGAAAAUGAUUCAUGAUAUUGGUGAUGAUGUCUUCAAACAUGCACAUGUGUACGAAAAUUUGUGCAAUGAUGCAAAAACGUCUUUGUAUCCAGGAUGCAUUAAGUUCACACGAUUGUCGGUAAUAUUAAGAUUGUUCAAUGUGAAGGCAAAAAAUGGGUGGACUGAUAAAAGUUUCACAAAAUUGCUUGAGUUACUAAGUGACAUUUUUCCUGAAGGUAACACGAUGCCAACAUGUAAUUAUGAUUCAAAGAAAAUAUUGUGUUCAAUGGGUAUGAAGUAUAAAAAGAUUCAUGCAUGCCCAAAUGAUUGUGUGUUGUACAAGAAAGAGUUUGAAAAUUUAUGUCAAUGUCCACAAUAGGGGUAUCACGAUACAAGAAAAAAGAUGGUGAUUCUGAAUAUGAUGUUAGAAAGGGUGUUCCUGCAAAGGUGUUAUGGUAUUUUCCUAUAAUUCCAAGGUUGAAAUGAUUAUUCACUAAUGCAAAAUUGAUUAGAUGGCAUGCAGAUGGACGUAAAAAAGAUGGUAUGUUAAGGCAGUCGGCAGAUAGUUUGCAAUGGAAAAGAAAUUGAUUUAAUGUUUCCAAAUUUCGGCAAUGAUCCAAGAAAUAUUAGGCUUGGACUUGCUACAGAUGGAAUGAAUCCAUAUGAUAAUUUGAGUAGUAAACAUAGUUCAUGGCCUGUGUUGUUAGUGAUCUAUAACUUGUCAUCGUGGUUAUGCAUGAAACGUAAAUACACGAUGUUAUCUUUGAUAAUCUCAGGUCUAAGACAAUCAGGAAACGACAUUGAUGUUUAUUUAAGCCCACUAGUUGAAGAUUUGAAAAUGUUAUGGGAAGAAGGCGUUAAUGUCUUUGAUGGGUUCACAGGUAACUCUUUUAAGUUGCAUGCCAUGUUAUUUCUUACAAUCAAUGACUUUCCAGCAUAUGGUAAUUUGAGUGGGUACAACACCAAGGGCCACAAAGCAUGCCCUAUAUGUGAAGAAGACAUAUGUCACUCUCAAAUAAAACAUGGAAGGAAAAUCAUGUACCUUGGACAUCGAAGAUUUCUUAGUUCGAAACAUCCCUUUCGUAAAUUAAACAAAGCAUUUAACGAUUGUCAAGAGAAUGAAUUAGUUUCGACGACUUUAAGUGGGUCACAAGUAUGUGAACGUGUAAAAGACAUUCAAGUUGUGACUGGAAAGACGUAGAAAAAAGUCACAACAAGAAAUAUAUGGAAGAAAAGAUCAAUCUUCUUUGAUCUCCCAUAUUGGAGGGUCCUUGAUGUGAGACAUUGUAUAAAUGUCAUGCAUGUAGAGAGAAAUGUGUGUGAUAGUAUUAUCAGAACACUCCUUAAUAUUCACAAUAAGACUAAAGAUGGAGUCAAUGCUCGUUUGGACAUGGUUGAAAUGGGUAUAAGAGAACAAUUAGCUCCACAAUCUCAUGGUAACCUGACAUACUUGCCUCCAGCAUGUCACACAUUUUCUAAGCAAGAGAAGAAAAGUUUGUGUGAGUUUUUAAGGGGUGUGAAGGUUCCACAGGGUUACUCUUCCAAUGUGAAAAGACUUGUAUCCAUGAAAGAUCUAAAAUUACUUGGGUUAAAAUCUCAUGAUUGUCAUGUUUUGAUGCAACAUUUCCUACUUGUGGCUAUUCGAGGAAUAUUGCCAAAGAAUGUAAGAUAUGCAUUAGCUAGAUUAUGCUUCUUUUUUAAUGUUAUAUGUAGUAAAUUUAUAAACCUUGAAAAGUUGGAUCAGUUAGAGAAUGAGGUUGUAGUUAUUUUGUGUCAAUUGGAGAUGUACUUUCCUCCAUCCUUUUUUGAUAUCAUGGUCCACUUGAUUGUACAUUUAGUAAGAGAAAUUAGACUUUGUGGUCUAGUGUUCUUAUGAUGGAUGUACCCAAUAGAGCGAUACAUGAAAAUAUUAAAAGGGUAUGUGAAGAAACAAUAUCGUCUUGAAGCAUCAAUUGUUCAAAGAUAUAUUGCAAAGAAAGCUAUCGAGUUUUAUACAAAAUACUUGUUAGAAAUUGAAGUUGUAGGGUUACCUAAAUCUCGUCACCAUGGAAUAAUUUCUGGAAAAGGUACUCGAUGUGAAAAAGUGAUGACAUUGACCCGAGAUGAAGUUAUUCAAGCACAUUUUUAUAAACUGAAUAACACUCACAUAGUGAUACCCUACUUAACUGCUCAUAAAGAUAUUGUGAAGAAAAAUCAUCCACAAAUUUCUUAGAAGUGGGUGAUCAAUGAGCAUAACAAGAGUUUUUUGAAGUGGUUCAAAGUGUCAACACAACUUCGGAUACAUUGAAAUGGUUAGCAUGUGAGCCAAACUUUGAUGUCAUAUGUUGGAGUGACUAUGAUAUAAACAAUUAUUCAUUUUAUACAAAAUCUGAAGAUGAAAAAAGAACUAUGCAAAAUAGUGAAGUAAUGGUGGUGUUGAUAUCCCUAUUAACAAUGAAUUGUACGGUGAUGAUCCUCCCCAACAUUUGGAGGCCUUAGGUAAAUUUUAUUCCAAUUAUAUUUUGUUUAUUCCUAUAUAUUUAUGUGGUCUUAAGUAAAAUCUAUAAGUUAGGAUCGAAUAUCCAUCAUCGAACGAUUAAGGAUGAUAUGAUACGAGUGGUGGUUAUAAAUGUUCGAGAUUCUUCUGCUUGAGUUCAUGUGCCCAUUGAGGAGGUUCAACUAGUAGGACAGGCCCCGAGAAAUUUUAUCAUUUGGCCAACUAGUUUGGCAAAGCCGAUUGUAGUAAGGGUUGUUUUUAUCUUUUUUAAUAUCUUCACACAAAUUAUAUUUAUAUACUAAUUUUAUUUAAAUUUAGGAUGAGUCUAAAAAUUCAAAAGUUGUCAACCCUCCACAACCACAAAUGUCUUCUCUCCAACUACUUGGUGCAGUGGUAGUGACAAUUGGAAAGAGAAUUGUCCAAUUAAACAUGCCUCCUGAUAUUGUAGGUAGGACCAGUAGUGUCCCUUUUUUUUAUAUGUCAUAAGGAUAUUUGUGAGAUUGUUACUAGUACUGAUCAACUAUCUAUAUCGGUUCUACAACUUUGGUUGUUGUAAGUAUACUUUCAUUAACCUUUAAAAUAGUUUAAUAUAUUCAUAUUUUACUCUAACAUUAUUUUUUCAAUGUUUAAGGUAUUUACAUCACCUCUACAUCGAGAAGUAGAAUGCUUAUAUUUAUGGAUUUCUUGACCCAGUUGCCAUUCAGAGUGUAGGAAAUAAAGUGAGUGAAGAGCAAACAUACUUAAUAGAAACAUUUCAAAAUCCAGGCAAAGAAGUGUAUUUAGUACCUUAAUUAAUUUGAAACUUAUUUAUUAUUAAUAUUAUUAUAACUUGUAAGGGUCAUUGACAGUUGUUGGUCAUUAUUCCUCGUCAUUUUCUCAUGGUUAUGAGUUUAUCUAUAAAUUAUAUGCAAUUGUUUGAAUAACAUUGAUAUGCAGGUGAUUGUUAUUAAUGAAUUGGGAAAAUGUGACUAAUGAAUGGGUUAGUAUAUAAAUUAUAUGCAAUUUUUUGGAUAACAUUCAUAUAUAAAAUACUUGUUAUGUUUAAAUUAUACAAAAGUUUGAAAUACUUGUUCAAUAAAUGAGAAAUAAAAACAAAAAAUUAGAUGGAUAAAAUUGCUUAAAAAUUAAUGCCCAUGAGCUAAAGUAUUACUCUAACACGAUGAUCUGAGUUGGAAGAUCAUAAUGAAUCCACAAUCAUGUGAUUCAUGCAUUGUUGGAAAAGUUUAGAAACCUUGAUAUAGUUACUAGCUUUAGUACCCUUAUAAUAGCCUUAUGUUGCAAAGAUUGAAAAUCUCGUGUAACUUAAGUUUCUCAACUUAGAUGGGACUCAACUUUUUGAUAAAAAGCUUUCUUUGUAUUAUAGUUUAAUAACUAAUUUUAAUUGGAAAAGAUAAAUGUUUAAGUGGAAAAAAAAGUUACUAUAGUCUUACGUCUAGAUGUUUAGAUAUGAACAUUUUGUGGAUGGUCUGAUAGUACGUGAUACAAUAGGUCCAAUAAAUCCCGUUAAGAUAUGUUUUGAUGUCGCAUGAAAAAGUGAGUUUAAGUUUAAUUCAUUAUCACAAAAUAAAUUUAUAAUUUGAGGUUUACUUCCACUUAUAUACUAUAAUUUGAUCUUACCUAUAACACCACUAUUUCUUAUUAUUUGGCAAUUAUUUUUAGAAAAUAUGAAAUCGAAUUUAUCUAAUAAUUUUUUUUCACUCAACAAUUGUCUCAUUUUUGUUACCAUAAAAUUGAUUCAGUAUUUAUUUUUAAAGAUUAAAGAAAAGUAGAUUAUAAUAUAUAUUCAUUUGAUAAAAAUUCAACAAUAUGUAAAAGAUAAUUUUUUAAAGGUCACACCACGCAAAAUACUUUGUUUAGCCUAAGAGAUAAAAGAAAACAUAUUAUUAUAAUUUGAUUUAGCCUAACUUAUAAAAACAUAUGUUAUAUAUAUAUAUAUAUAUAUAUAUAUUUUCACCCAAAUUUAUGUCAAAGUACUUAAUUUAACAUUCAUAACAAAAUUAACAAAGUUUUAUCUAGUGUAGAUUCCUAUUUAACAAAAGUUGUAUUUUAUACAAAAUUCAAAGUGUACUAAUCUCAUCGUUAUAGUUUGUAUUGUUGUUCUCUUCCUUUGAAAAAGAAGAAAGUAAGGGUGUGUCUUUCCCUUGUCUCUAAAACUUUAUCGUAAAUUUGAAAGUUUUACAACAUAGUUGAUAAAAUAAAUCUGCAAUUGAAUGAAAUAACUUCUCAAAAUAAUAUUGAAAUCAUGAAUCAUAACCAAUCAUGCCCAAAAUAAAUCAAAUUAAUCACAAAAUCGUUUAUAGCAAACAGCAUAAACUUUUGCUAUCAAAUUCAUAUAUGUUAGGUUCAAAGUUUGACACUUUUAAUUAUCCAUCUUUUAAUAAUCACAGCCUCACCCUCAUUAGUACCAAUCAAUUCACAGCGAUGGACCAUGAGGAUCCCCAUACACAUUUGGCUACCUUUUAUGAAUUGGUGGGAACUAUGGGUUUUCAGUCAGGUGAUUUGGAGAGUGUGUAUAUGCGUCUAUUUCCCUUUUCUUUGGCAGGGAAAGUGAAGUAGUGGCUUAAAUCACAUCAUAAUCAGAGCCUAACCAGAUGGAAGGAUGUGGAGGAAAAAUUUCUACAGAGAUUUUUUCCAAUUUCUCGUUACAUUAAAGCUAAGUCUGAAAUUUAUAUGUUCAAACAAGAAGUAGAGGAAUCUUUAUGGGAGACAUGGGAGAGAUUCAAGAUGAUGUUGAGAAAAUGCCCAAAUCAUGGGUUUGAAGAAAUUGUUCAACUAAGCAAAUUUAUUAAUGGUCUUAGGUCUGAUACGAAGAUGCUCCUAGAUGCAGCAGCAGCUGGCACAAUGAUGGUUGUUGAUGUAGAACAAGCAAUGAGAAUUAUUGAUGCUUUGGCCACAACUGAUUAUCAAGCUCAGCAUGAUAGACAAGGUCAUCAAAAGAGAGGAUUAUUGGAAUUGAAUACUGCAGAUGCAUUGUUGGGUCAAAAUAAGAUACUGACACAAUAAAUUGAGAAACUGACUGCAUAGAUGGCAAACUACCCGAAAAGUUGCAUGCGGUUCACUCAUCCCAAAGUCGGAAUAUACCUAUCAGGUGUGAUUUUUGUGGAGGUAAUCAUCCUAAUGGUCACUGUUCUUAUAAGUCCAACUCACCUGAAGCUGAAGUAAAUUAUAUGGGAAAUCAGAGAAGGCAAGGUGAUUUUUCCAAAAAUUAUUCUCCAAAUUGGAAAAAUAAUCAAAAUCAAAAUUUUGGAUGGAAACAAGAUUAUAGUUCAUCCAACAAGCAAGGGCCUUUCAAACAGCAACAUCAAUCUAAUUAUCCAUCCAUCCCUGACAAAAUGAGUAAAGUUGAAGAUGCUUUAUCAAAGAUUGUGAGAUCGCAGAAAAAUAGCACGACCACGAUUAGGAGUAUUGAGAUCUAGAUGGGACAAAUGACCAAACAAAUUGCACAAAUUGUAGAGGGACCAAUUGGCCAAUUCUCAGCCAACACCACAACCAACCCUAAGGAGCAUUGUAAUAAAAUCACUACCGAAAGUGAUAAAAAAAUUAAAAGAAGGAGAUGGUGAGAUGGUGAAUGUUGAGGAAGAAAAAGGAGAAAAUAGAAAAGAGGGAGAUUAAUAUGAAGUUGUAGAGAGUGGAGUUUCAAAAGAAUUAUCCCAUUCUUUUAUGCCCAUAAAAGAAGAAAAGAAAGGAUCUUUUUUUGAUAAAUUGCUUCCAAAAAAAUUAUUUGGCAGGAUGACUGGAGAAAAAAAUAUUCUUUGAAGGAAUUAGAAGGAUGAUGUGUUGCUUUGAAGAAAAGGAGAUAGAGUCGGAAGCUAGAAGCAAUUUUUUGAAGCUAAAAGACUUGUGCAAGAAGUUCAAGGAUCCAAGGAGUUUUAAUAUUCUUGUGUUAAUAAUGCCUUAUUGGAUUUAAGGUCAAGUAUAAAUUUGAUAUCACUAACCAUGUUAAAACAAAUAGGUGACUUAGAAGUUAAACCCACCAUGAUGCAAUUAUAAUUGGCUGACAGAACUGGGAAACAACCUUAUGGUGUGGUAGAAGAUGUUCUUAUCAAGGUAGACAAGUUCGUAUUGUUGAUCAAGAGUGAUCAAAUGCUUUGAAGAAUCCAAAUCCAAUAUGUUUGAUGAAAUGUUGGUGUUGCUAUUGUUUCUGGGUGGAAUGUGAGUAGAACAGAAUGUGAUCCACUCCUUUGUUGAAUCUAAAAUUGAUGUGAUUUAAAACCUUUUUGAAAUCAAGUGUUUUUCCAACUAAGUGAAAAACAACCUGUUGUUUUGCCGAAUCAACCGGUUGUUUUACUCUUAGGAGUUUUGAAAAGGUUGAAAACUAUUUUAGUUUGGUUGACUUAACUGUCAAGCCAAAGAAUCGGUUGCUUCGUGGUUUCAACCGAUUGUUUCUUUGAAAAUCCUAACAGAAUUCAGUUUUGAAUGUUGAAUCUGGUUUAAAUGUUUUUCAACUAAAUACGCUCCUUCAUUAAUUGCUUUUAAACAAAAAUAUAAAUGGUUUGUUUAUGUUUUUAAACAAAAAGAAGAGAAACAAUUUUGAGUUUUUCAGUUGUGAAAAGAUUGAUUCUAAGAUUUGAACAUCCACCUCAAGCUUUGGGUUUUCAAAGAGAGUGGAAUAGGAUUGCAAUUGUAUUGAUUUCAGUUUGUACUGUGAACAAGUGCAAUCUUUUCUAAACCUACUGUAUUUCUGGUGUUGUGUUGCCAAGGAGUGUUGUGUGUUCUUGAGGUGGUCAAGAUCAAUACUCUUGGUGUGUUUUGCCAAAGGUAGUGUGUUUCUUGAAGGGUUCAAGGUCACUACUUUGGUGGUUUGUGUUUUGUAAUCUGGUUUGAUUGCUUAGUGGAUUACCCAGUGGUAUUCUGGGGACUGGAUGUAGCUCUUGGCUUAAGAGUGAACCAAUAUAAACUGUUGGUGUAUCUCUCUCUUACUCUGAACUCAUUUAAAUUUUGUUUUAAGCUUUGCUGAUAUAAACAACCGAUUGUUUCGAAGAAACAAUCGAUUGUUUUUCGUUUGCUUUUCUGUUUUAUUGCUUAAAUUCUUGGCAACCUUGAUUCCUGUUCUGGAUUCACACAAAGAAUUUUGUUAAACCUGAAAAAGUUUUCAAAAACCUCUCUUAAACAAUUCAUCCCCCCUCUCGUUUAAAGCCAUAUAUUCUAACAAUUGGCAUCAAGAGUUUGGUACUUGAAAAAUAUUCAAGUUUGAUCCUAAAAUCUUUUUUCUAUGGUUGAAAAACUACCUUUUGAGGAGGGUGCUUCAAUUAACAAACCACCUUUGUUUUGCGGUUUGAAUUAUAAGUAUUGGAAAGCUAGAAUGAAAAUCUUUGUUGAAUCUAUUGAUCAAGGAAUUUGGGAUGCAAUUGAAAAUGGCCCUUUCAUUCCUAAAAUUGAAAAGGAUGGAUCUUUUACUAAAACACCUUGGUCCCAAUGGACUGAUGAACAAAGUGAAAAGGGGGAUUGCAUUGCCAAGAAUAUCAUAACAUCUGCUGUGAACUCUAAUGAUUUUUUUCAGGAUUUCGCAAUGUGAAUCAGCUAAAGAAAUGUGGGACACUUUAGAAGUCAUUCAUGAAGGGACAAAUGAGAAUGAAGAGAAAUUGUUUAGCCUGCUGUUUAAGAAACUCAGAAAGUUCUUAAAGAAAAGAAUCAGCAAAAGGGACUCAUCCAAAAGGUAUGAUAACAAAAACUCUACCAAGGUUAAAACUAACAAUUAUGCAUACCUUGAAUGUGGUGAGCAGGGACAUACUAAAGCUAAAUGUCUAAACAAAGAAAAGAAGAACUUCAAGAAACAUGAGAAGAAAGGAAAAUCAAGAAAAUUAUAGUCAAUUCCUUCAAGAGACCCUAAACCCUAAACCCUUCAAGCACCUCUUCAAGUAAAGUUGAAAAAGCCAAUCUCUGUUUGAUGGCUAAAAAGGAAGAUGAUUCAAGCAGUGUAAGUUCUUGUGCCUCCUUAAAUGCUGAAAAUUAUAGUCAAUUCCUUCAAGAGAGAAACUCAUGAAGAUGCUAAUCGAUUGGCUAUCUUGAACAACCAUUUGAAAGGAAUGAACAACUGGCUUGAAAACAGAGUCAAGGCAUUGGAAGAAGAAUUGGAAAAUUCAAAAACAGAUUUUGAAAAUCUUUAAAUGCUUUACAAAAACUCUUCUUGCAAGUGCGACUCUCUUGUUUGUGAAAAUUGUGAAUCUCUUGAAAAAAGGUUCACUACCUUGUAAAAAUUGUGGAUAAGCUUUCAAAAGGUAAAUCAAACUUUGAGAGUGUCUUGGCAUUUCAAAAUAGUGUUUUUGGAAAAUUUGGAUUGGGUUUUAAUCCACGAAACAAGUUUUCAAACUCCUUUUCAAAAGUGCCAGAAAAACAACCGAUUGAAAAAUCGAAACAAUCGGUUGUUACAUGUUUUUACUGCAUGAAAAUAGGACACUCACUUAGGUUCUGUAAAAUUAGGAAAUAUUAUGUUCCUAAAGGCAUUAUGAGAUGGAUUCCCAAAAAUUCUGAAGUUCCCAGUGAUGAAUGUAAAUGAAGAGGACCCACAUUUGUAAGGGGACCAAAUCUUUGCACUUGAACUUGCCUUUUGUAGGGAAAAUUGAUGGAAAACAAGCAUCUGUGGUACCUGGAUAGUGGUUGUUCAAAACACAUAACUGGAGAUAAAUCUAAAUUUGUGAACAUCAUCUUCAAACAAGAAGGGCAUGUGACAUAUGGAGACAAAAACAAAGGAAGGAUUCUUGGAAGAGGCUUUAUAGGAGACAAGAGUAUCUUGCUAAUUCAUGAUGUCUUGUAUGUGGAAGGACUAAAGCACAACCUGCUUAGCAUUAGCCAACUGUGUGACAAAGGUUAUCAAGUCAUCUUCAAGCCAAACUCUUGUGAAAUUUGUCUUCCCAAUUUAAAGGAGGUAAUGUUGAUUGGUAAAAGAAUAAACAAUGUCUAUCUCUUAGAUAUCUCUUCUCCUUGUUCCAUUGAUUGUCUUCUUUCUAAACAUGGUGAAUCUUGGUUAUGGCAUAGAAGAAUAGCUCACAUUCACAUGAAUCACUUAAACAAAUUGAUUUCAAAAGAACUUGUGAUAGGGUUGCCCAAACUUAAGUUUGAGAAGGACCACAUAUGUGAAGCAUGCCAAAAAGGGAAACAAGUUAAAAAUUCUUUCAAACUUAAAAAGGUUGUUUCAUCUUCCCCUUGAGCUGCUUCACAUGAAUUUGUUUGGCCCUUCAAGAACCAUGAGUCUUGGUGGCAACUAUUAUGCUCUUGUUAUUGUGGAUGAUUUUUCUAGGUACACAUGGACACUCUUAUCGGAAUCAAAGAGUGAAGCUUUCUCUGCCUUCAAAAAGCUUACUAGAAGUUUACAGAACACAAGAAACAGCAGCAUUGGUUCAAUAAUAAGUGAUCAUGGAGGGGAAUUUCAAAAUGAGAAAUUCAGCAAAUUCUGUGAGAAGACGGGGAUCUAGCACAAUUUUUCUGCACCAAGAACUCCUCAACGGAAUGGAGUAGUGGAGAGAAAUAACAGAUCUCUUGAGGAGUUAGCAAGAACCAUGCUAAGUGAAUCCUCCCUACCCAAGUAUUUUUGGGCUGAUGCUGUUAGCACUUCUUGCUAUGUCAUGAAUAGAGUGCUAAUAAGGUCAAUUUUGAAGAAAACACCCUAUGAACUUUUCAAUGGAAGGAAGUCAAACAUUAGUAACCUAAAAGUGUUUGGAUGCAGCUGUUUUGUUCUAAAUAAUGGGAAAGAAAUUCUGGGAAAGUUUGAUGAAAAAGCGAACAAUGGCAUUUUCAUUGGCUAUUCCUCUAAUAGUCAUGCUUAUAGAGUCUACAACAAAAGGUUCAUGAUUAUAGAAGAAUCUGUUCAUGCGAUGUUUGAUGAAGUUGAUCACAAAGUCUUAAAACCCUUAAAGAAAAGCACUGAAGAGGAUGAAUAAAACAUCAUUAUGCAUAAGCUGGAUUGUUGUCCAGAAAAACAACCGAUUGAUUCAUCAAAAUAACCGGUUGAAAUUUUGCAGCAGGAUGAGUUGCCUAAAGAAUGGAGAAUUUCAAGAGAUAUGUUAGUGGAGAACAUCAUUGGGCAGAUAAAGGAGGGUGUUUCUACACGUAGUUCUAUCUCAAACUUCUGCAGACACACUGCUUUUGUCUCUCAAGUUGAACCAAAGUCAAUUAAAGAAGCUCUUAAAGAUGAAAAAUGCGUGGAUGCAAUGCAUGGAGAGUUGAAUCAGUUUGCUGGGAAUGAUGUGUGGUUUCUUGUUCCCAAGACAGAUGAGAUGAACAUCAUUGGAUCUAAAUGGGUCUUCAGGAAUAAGUUAGAUGAGGCUGGUGUGAUUAUUAUAAACUGUUAGAAUAUAUGGCCUUAAACGAGAGGGGGGUGAAUUGUUUAAGAGGGGUUUUUGAAAACUUUUUUAGCUUGAACAAAAUCCUCUGUGUGAAUCCUUAUCAGAAUUUCAGUUAGCCAAGAAUUUAAGCACAAAACAGCAAAGCACCAGAAAAACAAUCGGUUGUUUCUGGGAAACAAUCGGUGUUUAUACCAGUAAAGUAAUAACAACUGCAUUUAAAUGAGUUUAAGGGCAAAAAGAGAUACACCAACGGUUUAUACUGGUUCACUAUUAAACCAAGAGCUACAUCCAGUCCCCAGAAGCCACUGGGUAAUCCACAAAGCAAUCAAAACAGAUUACACACAAACCACCAAAGUAGUGACCUUGAACCCUUCAAGAAACACACUCACUUUGACACAAAACACACCAAGAAUGUUGAUCUUGACCACCUCAAGAACACACAACACUCCUUGGCAAUAACACCAAAAUUACAGAAGAUUCAAAAAGAAUUACACUUAUUUACAGAAUAAUCUGAAAUCAAUACAGAUGCAAUCUUAUUCCACUCUUUCUUGAGAAAACCCAAAGCUUGAUGUGAAUGUUCAAAACUUGAAAGCAAUCUUUCUCACAACUGAAAAACUCAAAUCUGUUUCACUUAUUUGUUUUAAAACAUAAACAAACUUUUUAUACUUUUCAAAUAUUGGUCAAAGCAUUUAAUGAAGGAGCGUAUUCAGUUGGAAAUCAUUUAAAGCACAUUCAACCACCAAAAUAGAAUUUUGUUAGGAUUUUCAAAGAAACAAUCGAUUGAAACCACGAAACAAUUGAAUGUUUUGGUUUGACAGUAAGUCAACCAACCAAAACAGUUUUCAACCUUUUCAAAAACACCUAAGAGUAAAACAAUCGGUUGUUUCGACAAAACAUGUUGUUUUUCACUUGAGCUUUAGAUUCAAAAAGGUUUUAAAACACAUUAGCUUUAGAUUCAACAACGAGUGGAUUACAAUUUUAAGCUACCCAGAUCCUACCCCAAACACAACAGCAACUCCAGCCUGGCAUCAAACACUUGGAUUUGGAUACUUCAAAGCACUUGAUCACUCUUGAUCAACAAUCUCCCCCUAUUUGAUGAAGACAAAUCCCUGGUUGCUUGUGUUGGACUUUGUUUGAAUCUGAAGCAGUACCUGCAAAACAAAACUUAUGCAAUACAAGACAUCUAUAACAACAGGUUAGGAUAACAUAUUUACUAAACGCUAUAUUAGACAAACAACCGGUUGUUUCCUUGAUUUAAUCGGUUGUUUUUGUCAGCAGAAGCAGAAAAACAGUUCCAAUUUCAGAAAUUAGAGAGAUUUAACAGUUUGAAACAUUUUAUAAAGAGCAGGCAACACAAAACCCAACCAAUUCUCCCCCUAUUUGUCUUCACAAAUAGACUUUAAGUAUAAAAAACAAUUUAAGAGAGAUUUUGAGAGUCAAGAAUGCCUAAUUCAUUUCUUAAGAAGUGAUGAUGAAUCUCAAUGUGCUUAGUUCUUGAGUGCUGAAUCUGAUUUUUGGUGAGAUUUAUAGCACUUAUGUUGUCACAAAGCAAAGGAACCUUGCUGAUCAUCAAUCCAAAAUCUGCAAGUUGCUGUUUAAGCCAAAGUAUUUGUGCACAGUAGCUCCCAGCAACAAAGUAUUCAGCCUUUGCAGUAGAAAGAGCUACACAAGCUUGCUUCUUACUAUGCCAAGAAAUGAGACUUGAUCCAAGAAGAUAACAAGUGCCACUUGUGCUUUUUCUGUCCAGCUUACACCCUGCAAAAUCAGAAUCUGAAUAACCAAUUAAGUGUAUAGGAGAGUGAGAAGGAUACCAUUGACCAACAUUGGUUGUUCCUUUGAGAUAUUUAAGAAUUCUCUUUCCAGCUUUGAAGUGAGAUUCCUUUGGAUUUGCUUAAUAUCUUGCACAAAGACAUACGGCAAACAUGAUAUCCGGUCUACUUGCUAUGAGAUUGAGUAUGGAACCAAUUAAACCUCUGUAUUUUGUUUGAUCUACCCUUUUUCCAGCAACAUCUACAUCCAUAUAACAACUUGAAGGCAUAGGUGUGCUAGCUUCCUUGCAACUUUCCAUUUCAAAUUUCUUGAGAAUUUCUUUGCAAUAUUUUGAUUGGCAUAGAAAAACUCCAUCCUUUGUUUGCUUGACCUGCAAUCCAAGAAAGAAAGAAAGCUCCCCCAUCAUAGACAUCUCAAACUCACCUUGCAUAGCAGCCACAAAUUCUUCACACAAACUAUCUUUGGUAGCACCAAAAAUGAUGUCCUCAACAUAAAUUUGAACCAAGAUAAUUUCAGAAUUUGACUUCUUGAUGAAAAGAGUUUUGUCAAUCAUUCAUCUUUCAUAACCAUGAGAUAAAAGGAAGUUGCUAAGCCUCUCAUACCACUGCCUUGGAGCUUGCUUAAGCCCAUACAAAGCCUUUUUCAACAUAAAAACAUGAUUGGGAUGUUGAUGAUCCUCAAAACCUGGUGGUUGCUCAACAUACACUUCUUCAUUGAUAAAGCCAUUAAGAAAAGCACUCUUCACAUCCAUUUGAAAGAGUUUGAAUCCACUCAUACAAGCAAAAGCCAAUAACAACCUCACAGCUUCCAAUCUUGCAACAGGAGCAAAUGAUUCACCAUAGUCAAUUCCUUCCUCUUCAUUGUAGCCUUUGGGAACUAGCCUUGCCUUGUUUCUAGUAAUUACUCCAGCUUCAUCUAGCUUGUUUCUGAAAACCCAUUUAGAUCCAAUGAUGUUCAUCUCAUCUGUCUUAGGAACCAGAAACCACACAUCAUUCCUAGCAAACAGAUUCAGCUCUUCAUGCAUAGCCUCCACCCAUUUUUCAUCUUUAAGAGCUUCUUCAAUAGACUUUGGUUCCACUUGAGAGACAAAAGCAGUGUGCCUGCAGAAGUUUGAGAUAGAGCUACGUGUAGAAACACCCUCCUUUAUCUGCCCAAUGAUAUUCUCCACUGAGACAUCUCUUGGUAUUCUCCACUCUUUAAGCAACUCACUCUGCUACAGAAUUUCAAUCGGUUGUUUUUCUGGACAGCAGUCCAGCUUCUGCAAAAUGAUGUUCUGCUCAUCCUCUUCUGGGUUGUUCUUUGAGGAUUGAAUAUUUUUGUGAUCAACUUCAUCAAACACCACAUGAACAGAUUCUUCUACAAUCAUGAGCCUCUUGUUGUAGACCUUAUAGGCGUGACUAUUUAAGGAAUAGCCAAUAAAGAUGUCAUGGUCAACUUUUUCAUCAAACUUUCCCAAAUUUUCUUUCCCAUUAUUCAGAACAAAACAGCUGCAUCCAAACACUUUUAGGUGACUAAUGUUUGGCUUCCUUCCAUUGAAGAGUUCAUAGGGAGUUUUCUUCAAGAUUAGCCUUAUUAGUACUUUAUUCAUCACAUAGCAAGAAGUGCUAACAGCAUCAACCCAAAAAUACUUGGGUAGGGAGGAUUCACUUAGCAUGGUUCUUGCUAACUCUUCAAGAGAUCUGUUCUUUCUUUCCACUACACCAUUCUGUUGAGGAGUUCUUGGUGCUGAGAAGUUGUGCAAGAUCCCUAUCUUCUCACAGAAUUUGCUGAAUUUCUCAUUUUGAAAUUCCCCUCCAUGAUCACUCCUUAUAAAACCAAUGUUGUUGUUUUUUGUGUUUUGUAACCUUCUAACAAGCUUUUUGAAGGCAGACAAGGCAUCACUCUUUGAUUCCAAGAAGAGUGUCCUUGUUUACCUAGAGAAAUCAUCCACAAUAACAAGAGCAUAAUAGUUGCCACCAAGACUCAUGGUUCUUGAAGGUCCAAAUAAAUCCAUGUGGAACAACUCAAGGGGUUUUAGAGAUGAAACAACAUUUUUAAUUUUGAAGGAAUUUUUAACUUGUUUCCCCUUUUGACAUGCUUCACAUAUAUGGUCCUUCUCAAACUUAAGCUUGGGCAACCCAAUCUCAAGAUAUUUUGAGAUUAAUUUGUUUAAGUGAUUCAUGUGAAUGUGAGCAAUUCUUCUAUGCCAUAACCAAUAUUCAUCAUGCUUAGAAAGAAGAUUACCAAUAGAACAAGGAGAUGAAAUAUCCAAGAGAUAGACAUUGUUGAUUCUCUUACCAAUCAACAUUACCUCUUUUGAGUUAGGAAGGCAGAUAUCACAAGAGUUUUUCUUGAAGAUUACUUGAUAGCCUUUGUCACACAGUUGGCUAAUGCUAAGCAAGUUGUGUUUUAGUCCCUCUACAUACAAGACAUCAUGAAUAAGCAAGAUACUCUUGUAUCCUAUAAAGCCUCUUCCAAGAAUUCUUCCUUUGUUGUUGUCUCCAAAUGUUACAUGGCCUUCUUGUUUGAUGAUGAUGCUCACAAACUUAGAUUUAUCUCCUGUCAUGUGUUUUGAGCAACCACUGUCCAGAUACCACUGCUGCAUGCUUUCCAUCAAUUUUCCUACAAAGGAAAUUUUCAAGUACAAAGAUUUGGUCCCCUUAUAAAUGUGGGUCCUUUUGAUUUACAUUCAUCACUAGGAACUCCAGAAUCUUUAGGAAUCCAUCUCAUAAUGCCUUUAGGAACAGAAUUUUUCCUAAUUUUACAGAAUCUGACAGAAUGACCUCUUUUCAUGCAGUAGAAGCAUGUAACAAUCGGUUGUUUCGACAAAACAAUCGGUUGUUUUUCUGGCAGUUUUGAAAAUGACUUUGAAAACUUGUCUUGCUUGUUCUGUGGAUUAAAACCUAAUCCAGCUUUUCCAAAAACACAAUUUUGAGAUGCCAAGACAUUCUCAAAGUUGGAUUUACCCUUUGAAAGCUUAUCCACAGUUCUUACAAGAUAAUGAACUUUCUUUUGAGGAUUUUCACAAUUUUCGCAUACAAGAGAGUCACACUUGCAAGAAGAGUUUUUGUAAAGAAUUUCAAGGUUUUCAAAAUCAGUUUUGGAAUUUUCCAACUCUCUUUCAAGUGCUUUAACUCUAUUUUCAAGCCAGUUAUUUAAUCCUUUCAAACGUUUGUUUAAGAGAGCCAAUCAGUUAGCUUCUUCAUGAGUUUCUUGAAAAGCUUGAAGCAAUUUAUUGUAAUUUUCAGCAUUUGAAAAAGUAGAAGAACUUACCCUGCUUGCAUCAUCUUCCAUUUUGGCCAUGAAACAUAGAUUCAUACCUUUUUUAUUUUGCCUCCUUUUUCUUCUUGCUUGACUUCUUGUCUUUGCUUUCUUUAUUUCAGUGAUACUCUCAUGAGUUGCUUUAAGUGUAUCCCACAACUCCUAAGCAGAUUCACAUUCUGAGAUCCUGAAAUAUUCUUUAGCAUCCAAAGCAGAAGUUAUUAUAUUCUUGGCAAUGCAAUCAAACUUGGCCUUCUCACAUUCUUCAUUAGUCCAUUGGGACCAAGGAUUUUUAAUAAAAGAUCCACUCUUUUUAAUCUUAGGAAUGAAAGGGCCAUUUUCAAUUGCAUCCCAAAUUCCUUCAUCAAUGGAUUCAACAAAGAUUUUUAUUCUAGCUUCCCAAUACUUAUAAUUGAAACCACAAAACAAAGGUGGUUUGUUAAUUGAAGCACCCUCCUCAAAAGGUAGUUUUCCAGCCAUAAAAAAAGUUUUAGGAUCACACUUGAGUAUUUUCAAGUACCAAGCUCUUGAUGCCAAUUGUUAGAAUAUAUGGCCUUAAACGAGAGGGGGGUGAAUUUUUUAAGAGGGGUUUUUGAAAACUUUUUCAACUUGAACAAAAUCCUUUGUGUGAAUCCAGAUCAGAAUUUCAGUUAGCCGAGAAUUUAAGCACAAAACAGCAAAGCACCAAAAAAACAAUCGGUUGUUUCUGCGAAACAAUCGGUUGUUUAUACCAAUAAAGCAAUAACAAUUGAAUUUAAAUGAGUUUAAGGGAAGAAAGAGAUACACCAACAGUUUAUACUGGUUCACUCUUAAACCAAGAGCUACAUCCAGUCCCCAGAAGCCACUGGGUAAUCCACAAAGCAAUCAAAACAGAUUACACACAAACCACCAAAGUAGUGACCUUGAACCCUUCAAGAAACACACUCACUUUGGCACAAAACACACCAAGAAUGUUGAUCUUGACCACCUCAAGAACACACAACACUCCUUGAUCACAAAGUCUUAAAACCCUUAAAGAAAAGCACUGAAGAGGAUGAAUAAAACAUCAUUAUGCAGAAGCUGGAUUGUUGUCCAGAAAAACAAUCGAUUGAUUCAUCGAAAUAACCGGUUGAAAUUUUGCAGCACGAUGAGUUGUCUAAAGAAUGGAGAAUUUCAAGAGAUAUGUCAGUGGAGAACAUCAUUGGGCAGAUAAAGGAGGGUGUUUCUACAAGUAGUUCUAUCUCAAACUUCUGCAGACACACUGCUUUUGUCUCUCAAGUUGAACCAAAGUUAAUUAAAGAAGCUCUUAAAGAUGAAAAAUGGGUGGAUGCAAUGUAUGGAGAGCUGAAUCAGUUUGCUGGGAAUGAUGUGUGGUUUCUUGUUCCCAAGACAGAUGAGAUGAACAUCAUUGGAUCUAAAUAGGUUUUCAGGAAUAAGUUAGAUGAGGCUGGUGUGAUUACUAUAAACUGUAAGAAUAUAUGGCCUUAAACGAGAGGGGGGUGAAUUGUUUAAGAGGGGUUUUUGAAAACUUUUUUAGCUUGAACAAAAUCCUUUGUGUGAAUCCUUAUCAAAAUUUCAGUUAGCCAAGAAUUUAAGCACAAAACAGCAAAGCACCAGUAAAACAAUCGGUUGUUUUUGGGAAACAAUCGGUUGUUUAUACCAGUAAAGCAAUAACAACUGCAUUUAAAUGAGUUUAAGGGAAGAAAGAGAUACACCAACAGUUUAUACUAGUUCACUCUUAAACCAAGAGCUACAUCCAGUCCCCAGAAGCCACUGGGUAAUCCACAAAGCAAUCAAAACAGAUUACACACAAGCCACCAAAGUAGUGACCUUGAACCCUUCAAGAAACACACUCACUUUGGCACAAAACACACCAAGAAUGUUGAUCUUGACCACCUCAAGAACACACAACACUCCUUGUCAAUAACACCAAAAUUACAGAAGAUUCAAAAAGAAUUACACUUGUUUACAGAAUAAUCUGAAAUCAAUACAGAUGCAAUCUUAUUUCACUCUUUCUUGAGAAAACCCAAAUCUUGAUGUGAAUGUGCAAACCUUGAAAGGAAUCUUUCUCACAACUGAAAAACUCAAAUCUGUUUCACUUAUUUGUUUUAAAACAUAAACAAACUUUUUUAUACUUUUCAAAUAUUGGUCAAAGCAUUUAAUGAAGAAGCGUAUUCAGUUGGAAAUCAUUUAAAGCACAUUCAACCACCAAAAUAGAAUUUUGUUAGGAUUUUCAAAGAAACAAUCGAUUGAAACCACGAAAUAAUCGAUUGUUUUGGUUUGACAGCAAGUCAACAUGUUGUUUUUCACUUAGUUUGAAAAACACUUGAAAUUCAAAAAUGUUUUAAAACGCAUUAGCUUUAGAUUCAACAAAUAAUGGAUUACACUUUUAAACUACCAAGGUCGUACCCCAAACACAACAGCAACUCCAGCCUUGCAUCAAACACUUGUAUUUGGAUUCUUCAAAACACUUGAUCACUCUUGAUCAACAGAAACAAGGCCAGGCUAGUUGCCAAAGGUUAUAAUCAAGAAGAAGGAAUUGAUUAUGGUGAAACCUUUGCUCCUGUUGCAAGAUUAGAAGUUGUAAGGCUGCUGCUGGCUUUUGCUUGUAUGAGUAGAUUCAAACUACUUCAAAUGGACGUGAGGAGUGCUUUUCUCAAUGGAAUUAUCAAUGAAGAAGUUUAUGUUGAGCAACCACCGGGCUUUGAAGAUCAUCAACAUCCCAAUCAUGUUUUUAAGCUGAAAAAGGCAUUGUAUGGGCUUAAGCAAGCUCCAAGGCAGUGGUAUGAGAGGCUUAGUAACUUUCUUUUAUCUCAUGGCUAUGAGAGAGGGAUGAUUGACAAAAACUCUUUUCAUCAAGAAAGCAAAUUCUGAAAUUAUUUUGGUCCAAAUCUAUGUUGAUGACAUCAUUUUUUGUGCUACCAAAGAUAGUUUAUGUGAGGAGUUUGUAGCUACCAUGCAAGGUGAGUUUGAAAUGUCCAUGAUGGGAGAGCUUUCAUUCUUUCUUGGACUGCAGGUUAAGCAAUCAAAGGAUGGAAUUUUCCUACGCCAAUCAAAGUAUUGCAAAGAAAUCCUCAAGAAAUUUGAGAUGGAAAGUUGGAAAGAAGCUAGCACACCUAUGCCUUCAAGUUGCUACAUGGAUGCAGAUGUUACUGGAAAAGGGGUAGAUCAAACAAAAUAUAGAGAUUUAAUUGGUUCUUUACUCUAUCUCACAAUAAGUAGACCGGAUAUCAUGUUAGUCGUGUGUCUUUGUGCAAGGUGUUAAGCAAAUCCAAAGGAAUCUCACCUCAAGGAUGCAAAACGAAUCUUCAAAUAUCUCAAAGGAACAACAAAUGUUGGUCUAUGGUAUCCUUCUUACUCUCCUAUACACUUAAUUUGAUAUUCAGAUUUUGGUUUUGCAGGGUGUAAGCUGGACCGAAAAAGCACAAGUGGCACUUGUCAUCUUCUUGGAUCAAGUCUCAUUUCUUGACAUAGUAAGAAACAAGCUUGUGUAGCUCUUUCUACUGCAGAAAACUAAUUGAUGUAUGAUCAUAACCUGCUAUAAGAGAUGCUCUUGAUUGCAUAGCUUUUUGUUUUGCAGGUGCUGUUUCUGAUUCAAUCAAGAUCAACACAAGGAAUGUGAUUCACUCCUUUGUUGAAUCUAAAACUGAUGUGAUUUAAAACAUUUUUUAAAUCAAGUGUUUUUCCAACUAAGUUAAAAACAACCUGUUGUUUUUUCGAAUCAACCGGUUGUUUUACUUUUAGGAGUUUUGAAAAGGUUGAAAACUGUUUUAGUUUGGUUGACUUAACUAUCAAGCCAAACAAUUUGUUGUUUCGUGGUUUCAACUGAUUGUUUCUUUGAAAAUCCUAAUAGAAUUUAGUUUUGAAUGUUCAAUCUGGUUUUAAUUUUUUUCAAAUGAAUACACUCCUUCAUUAAUUGGUUUGACCAAUCUUUGGAAAAUAUAAAUGGCUUGUUUAUGUUUUCAAACAAAAAGAAGAGAAACAAUUUUGAGUUUUUCAGUUGUGAAAAGAUUGAUUAUAAGAUUUGAACAUUCACAUCAAGCUUUGGGUUUUCAAAAGAGAGUGGAAUAGGAUUGCAAUUGUAUUGAUUUCAGUUUGUAUUGUGAACAAGUGUAAUCUUUUCUAAACCUACUGUAUUUCUGGUGUUGUGUUGCUAAGGAGUGUUGUGUGUUCUUGAGGUGGUCAAGAUCAAUACUCUUGGUGUGUUUUGCCAAAGGUAGUGUGUUUCUUGAAGGGUUCAAGGUCACUACUUUGGUGGUUUGUGUUUUGUAAUCUGGUUUGAUUGCUUAGUGGAUUACCCAGUGGUGUUUUGGGGACUGGAUGUAGCUCUUAGCUUAAGAGUGAACCAGUAUAAACUGUUGGUGUAUCUCUCUCUCUUACUUUGAACUUAUUUAAAUUAUGUUUUAAGCUUUGCUGAUAUAAACAACCGAUUGUUUUUCUGUUCUUUGUUGUUUUAUUGCUUAAAUUGUUGGCAAACUUGAUUCCUGUUCUGGAUUCACAAAAAGAAUUUUGUUAAACCUGAAAAAGUUUUCAAAAUCCUCUCUUAAACAAUUCACCCCCCCCCCUCUCGUUUAAGGCCAUAUAUUCUAACACGUAUUUCCAGUGGAUUUUGUUAUCUUGGACAUGAAAGAAGACGAGGAGGUCCCUUUGAUUCUCGGUAGACCUUUUAUGAAGACCGCCAAAGUCAUAGUGGAUGUGGAUAAAGGAGAACUUAAAGUAAGGUCUCAGGAGGACGAGAUAAGAUUUAAUCAUUUUGAUGAUGUGACUAACUGUAUUGCAAAUAAGGAUGGGAGACAAGAGGAAAUUUCAAAAGACGGUGAACAAAUGGAGGGUUCAAAGCCAAAGGAGAAAGUUAUACCUCGGAAAAAAUUAAAUAUAAAAGAAGACCAAGAUAAUCAAGGGAAGUUAGUGGAGGAAGAUUAAUAUCGACUAGGACAACAUAUCAUGCUCAACAUAGGGAGGGGGAAAAGAAUAAAGAAGACUAAGAAAUUGUGGGUCAUUAAGGAAUUAAAGCUGGAUGGAACAAUUGAAGUGGAAAAGCCAUAUUCAAGGAAAACGAAAGUGAUAACAAGAACACUGGCCAAACAGAAUAAUUAUCCCCCUUGAUAAAAACUUUUGUCAAGCUAUAUGACGUUAAAUAAAGUGCUUAUUGGGAGACCAUCCCACAUUUUAGUUUUAUGUUGUUUUGUUAUCUUUGUUUUGAUUUUACCUUUUAAAAAUCAUGUUGUCAUCCAAGGAUUCUAGCCCAAGCGAGUGAAAUCUUGCCAAGACGAGUACGAUGGCGAAAAGUAGGGUGCUCUUGGGAGUUAUCUCGCUCAAUUGAAUUUUUUUUUGCAAAAAAUAAAAAUAAAAAAAAUAAUAAUUAUUUUUUAUAUGCCUCUUAAUCAUUUUUGCAGUUUAUAUAGCUUGACCUGGGGACAAGUUCUAUUAUUCAAGGGCCAAAUCCAACAAAUGAAGAAAGACUAUAGAUGAAGAUUUUAACAAAUAGCUUGAUGACUUCUUAGGAAGAGAGGAUUGAGCAAAAGUAUGGUUUUAUCUCUCUAAAUAUCUUUCCUUUUCAGUUAUUUGAAUUUUGUUUUAUUUUUUCUGUUGACUUUUAAUUUAUUUUUCGGUUAUUUUUUUUUCUAUUUAUUUGUUGUUUUUUCUAUUUUGUUAGUUUUAUGUUUUGAAUUAUUUUUCUUGAAUAAAUUUCAGUUUUAUUUUGUUUUGUUUUCUAGUUUUAUUUUUCUCAAAUAUAAAAAGAACUAGAAUAUUAAUUUUGAAUUGGGGAAUAAAGGAAUUUGUGUUUAAAUAUUAAAUAGUAAGAUGAAUUAGACAUAGGUUAAAAAAGAAAAUUUGAUUGAAUCCCUAUUCAAAUGUAGAUGAAAUUGUGCUACGUGAAAAUUUAACAGGAUGAUUGAUUAGGAUAGAGAAUGACAAAACAAAUAGGAAUGAGGCCAAUUAAACCAAGUGAGUGUGUGAACUUUAAACGGUUUUGAGAGUUUUACUUAUGAAUUGACAAUUGUGGUUGCUUAAUUUUUAUUUUUUGUUACAUCAUAAACGAGCAUGAUGAUAAUCGAGGCAUUUGUUUUGUGUUAAUUAGGAACCCAAGGCCAAAUAGCCAACCUUAAUUUUAUUAGAAUUCAAUUUUUUUUUAUAUAUUCCCUUUGGACCAAGAAUUGUUGUUAUUAUUGCACCAUAACUUUUUAUGAUAUAAAUGUAAUACAUAUAGAAAAGAGAAUGGUUGGUUCUGAUUGUUGAAAUCUCAAAAAGUUGAAAAUAGGAAGAAUCUAAUCCUAUUGAAAAAAAAAGAAAAAAUUCAUCAUGAAAAUCAUGAAAAGAUAGAAAUAAAAUAAGGAAAAAUGUGAACUCAAAAGAAAAUGGUGAUUAGAUAAUAUAUAUGUUCUCUAUAAUUGGAUUUUAGGCAUAUUCUUCUUCUUAAAGAUGUGCAUUUUUUUAUCUGAAAAAACCAAUAUUUUUUGGAAGCCCAACGUCAUUACAACCAUGGAAAAGACAUCUGGAUUUAUAUUUCUAAUAUGUUUGUGAUUUGAAGAUGAAAUGAAAAGCAUCUGUGAUUUGUUAUGAUUCAGUGAAAAUAGAGAUAAACACUUACCUGUGAGUAUAUGAGAAGAUAUUCCUUGAUGAAUUGUCAUUUAUUUAUGUUGAUUUGAUCCUAGAAGUUGAUUGUGUUUAUAUUUUAUAUAUUUGAAUUUGGAAGCAUCAUAAGUUUCUAAUUUGAUAUGUUGUUUAUUGAAUUAAGUUGUUUGCUAUUUAAAUUCAAAUAUAUUCACUUACUUUGUUUGAGGACAAGCAAGAUUCUAAGUUGGGGAGAGUGAUAAGUGCCUAAUUUCCGUAUUAUUUUAUAUUAAAAUAUAGGCACUUAUGAGUAUUAAUUGCUAAUUUACAUAUAAAAUAAUCCAUAAUUUAUGAAUUUAUACCUUUUUUACAUUUUUUAUGAUCUUUAGUUGAAUAAGUGCAUUUUAUUCGCAGAUUUGGUGUUAAUUGUAGGUUUCUAGGAAGAAUGGAGAUUUAGACUAAAGAAGAAUGAUAUAUGCAAAAAGGAGAAAGCUGGAAGGCUUAUAACACACAAAAGAGAGAAAAAAAGUCCAAGUUAGCAACGAGAAUGCGUCAGAUUAGUUGGGCUAAUUUUAUGUUUUUAUGAACAAGCCCAAAGAGCAACGCAAGAAGUCAUCUAAACCUAGAAAAUUAGGUUAAAUAUGGGGCUAUAGGCACAACCCUACUGUGCCAGAUUGAGAGAAAAACACCAUUGAGUGAAUUGUAACCAAUUGGGAGAAUGCAAGAUGCUAAAAGUAUGUGUGGCUAAUUCUAUCCUUUAGGAUUGGGAGUAUCUGUUUCAACCCUUAUGUAUUGAGGUAACAUUUAAUUAUAAUAUAAUAUUCUGUUUUUGAUUGAUUAUUGGUAUUGUUGUUUUUCUUUUAAAUAUUUGUGACAUGUUUGAGGGUCUUAAAUCUGACUGGGAAGUAUUUUUACGGUUCUGACCUAACAAUAAUACUUAACAUAUUUGAGUGUUAGGAAUAGACUUGAAAUGUUAAUUCUUAUUAGUGUUUGAGCUUGGUUCUAAGUUGUUCUUAUAAUUAUGCGAGGGAUUGAUAUUUUGAGAACAUUUUUAAAAAAAUUAUAUGCGAGGAAACGAUAUAAAUGACUUUUAUACAGGCAUCAAUUUCAACCAGAGAACAUAAUGUUAACAUGCUAAUCAAAAUACAUAAGAGUGAGAUAGAUGAAACCUAAUCCCUAUUUUUCCAACUUGAAGCUGUUGAAGCUGGAGGAAGCUUCUUCCCUACCAAGGCUUGAUGUGUGUUUGAUGAAGAAAAUGGCUUAAGUGCUUUGAAGAUUGUAAUAGGUUUUUAGAUUCAUUUGUAAUUAGGCUUGUAAUUGUGUAUGAUUGCCUUUUGCUAUGUGACCUAUCCUAGAUGCCUAACCAAGUCUAGAUCAAGCACAUGAUGUGGUUAAAUGGUUUUUGAAAAGCUUUUUAAAAUGUUUUUAACAGUUUUAAAUCAGUACAAAAAUAAAUCUGUUUUAUGGAGAAAGAAUCUGUUUAUUUCUUCUCUGUUAAAAGGCUUUUCUAAAAGUUCUGUUUGAGACCACAUGCAAAGCUUAGUUCGUUAUUUCAGUUAAAGCUGAGCUGGCCUAUUUGCCUUCAUUUAAUCUGUUUCACUGNNNNNNNNNNNNNNNNNNNNNNNNNNNNNNNNNNNNNNNNNNNNNNNNNNNNNNNNNNNNNNNNNNNNNNNNNNNNNNNNNNNNNNNNNNNNNNNNNNNNNNNNNNNNNNNNNNNNNNNNNNNNNNNNNNNNNNNNNNNNNNNNNNNNNNNNNNNNNNNNNNNNNNNNNNNNNNNNNNNNNNNNNNNNNNNNNNNNNNNNNNNNNNNNNNNNNNNNNNNNNNNNNNNNNNNNNNNNNNNNNNNNNNNNNNNNNNNNNNNNNNNNNNNNNNNNNNNNNNNNNNNNNNNNNNNNNNNNNNNNNNNNNNNNNNNNNNNNNNNNNNNNNNNNNNNNNNNNNNNNNNNNNNNNNNNNNNNNNNNNNNNNNNNNNNNNNNNNNNNNNNNNNNNNNNNNNNNNNNNNNNNNNNNNNNNNNNNNNNNNNNNNNNNNNNNNNNNNNNNNNNNNNNNNNNNNNNNNNNNNNNNNNNNNNNNNNNNNNNNNNNNNNNNNNNNNNNNNNNNNNNNNNNNNNNNNNNNNNNNNNNNNNNNNNNNNNNNNNNNNNNNNNNNNNNNNNNNNNNNNNNNNNNNNNNNNNNNNNNNNNNNNNNNNNNNNNNNNNNNNNNNNNNNNNNNNNNNNNNNNNNNNNNNNNNNNNNNNNNNNNNNNNNNNNNNNNNNNNNNNNNNNNNNNNNNNNNNNNNNNNNNNNNNNNNNNNNNNNNNNNNNNNNNNNNNNNNNNNNNNNNNNNNNNNNNNNNNNNUCUUUUUAAAUUGAAUCUGUUAAUUCGUGGUUUAAGUGAAACUGUUCUUCCUGAUUUGUUAAAGUUCUCUGAUCAUAAACAAGGCUGCUGUAUAUAAUGGUUUAAGUGAUUUGUGAACAAAUUGUCCAUUCAUUAAAAUCUGAGAAAGGAUCAUUCCUCUUAAAGCCUUGUGUUGAGUAAUUUUGUUUGAUUUCUAAGCAUAGCUGUAUCCUUCAUCCUCACAAUAUUAAGCUGAUCUGAUUCUGUUAUAAUUCUCUGUUGAUCACAAUUUUACAUUGAACAAAUUCAAAUUGUGCCAAGACUGCUCUGAAGAAUCAAUCUGUUUCAUGUAAAAACAAUCUGUUCUUUUUGCCUCUGGAAUACUGAAAAAUUGUGUGUUCUUGCGAAAAUUUUAUAAGCUCAAUUCACCCCUCCCCUCUUGAACUUAGACACUAAUAGACCCAACAGAAGCAACCAAUUCUUUGUCUGUUUUCUUAUUGAUCAUCGCCAACACAACUAUUCUCAACACACUUUUAACUGUUCUAUUUUAUAUUUAGCGAUUAUUAUACUUGAUAAUUCACUAUUCCUUGUUGGAUCGAUAUCCGUCCUUAGGGAAAAAUUAUUACUUCUGACAACCCGGUGCACUUACCGUAGAAAGUCAUCCAGCACUACACUCAUUCUAGGUCUAGCUAAAGAGACAUAAUGUAAAAUAAAGAGCCAAUAAAGGCUAGAAAAAAAAUAAAAAUAAAGGCUAGACAUAUGUCAAAGAGAAACAAAUAAGAAUUAGAAAAGACAAUUAAUAUGAGCUUCCUUCUAGAAGCCUUGUAUCCAUAUACUUUGUUAGCCCCUCGCAAGCUGGGGAACAAAUAUUGAUGAGACUCAACUUGAAACAAAUACUCUUGAAAGAUUAAGGACUUAAGGUUUUGGUAUAAAUGUCAGCCAAUUGCUCUGUGGUAGAAAUGGGAAGCAAAUAUACGAGACCCUUCUUCAUUUUUUCCCUAACAAUGUGACACUCUAUUUUUAUGUGUUUCUUACACUCAUGAAACAUCGGAUUUGAUGCAAUGUAUUUUGCUGAUUCAUUGUCACAUUAUAAAAGAGAUGGUUGCUCAAAAGGAACUUUGAAAUCUUGAAGAAGAUAAGUUAGCCAUUAAAUUUCACAUGUAACAAUGGCCAUUGUCUUGUAUUAAGCUUCACAAGAACCUUUGAUAUUAUUCCUUGCUUCUUUGGUUUCCAGGAUAUGAGGGAAUUCCCAAGAUACACACUAAAAAGUGUCACUGAUUGUCUUGAACCAUUACAGGUGCCCCAAUCACUAUCACAAGAGGCUUUUAAAUGAGCAUAAGUGUUGGAAGAGAAAAAUAAACCAAGACUCAGACCUUCUUUAAUAUAUAUGAGAAUUCUAAUUGUUGCAUUAUAGUGAGAAAUUGUAGGCUUAUGACGAAAUUGAGAAAGUUGUUGCAUAGAAAAGGUUAUGUCAGGUCAGGUAUUAGUGAGGUACAUAAGUCUUCCAAUCAAUCUACUAUAUGCUUGAACAUCUGCGAAAGGAACACUUCUAGUAAAAGAUAAUUUUGUAUGAUAAUCAAUUGGAGUAAGUGCAGGUUUACAAGCUAAAAGACAUGUAUCUGUUAACAAUUCCAGUGCAUAUUUCCUCUGAUUCAUCAUUAUCCCUUUCUUACUUCUUGUUAUUUCAAGACCAAGAAAAUAUCUCAAAUCCCUAAGGUUAUUAAUCUUGAAUGUUUGAUUCAAGGCUUGUUUGAUUUGCUCAAUCUCCUCUUUCUCAUUUCCUGCCAAUAUUAUAUCAUCCACACACACCAAUAAUGUUAUAAAAGAUCCUUUAGAAGAAUUAAUGAACAAGGAAUGAUCAUUCUUAGAUUGCUAAAUCUCACAUAAAGCAAAAAGGAUGACAGUUUGGUAAAUCACUCUCUAUUGACUUGCUUAAGGCCAUAUAAAGCCUUUUUAAAUUUACAAACUUGUCUUGGUUGAAUAGAAGUCAAUCCAGGAGGAGCAACCAUUUUUACAUCUUCUUUCAACUCUCCAUGUAAAAACACAUUGUUUUUUCAAUUCCCAAUUCUAUAUAGAAGCUCAAUAAAGAAGCAACCUUAUGGUAGUCAUCUUUGCUACUCGAGAAAAAAUAUCAAGGUAGUCAAUGCCUUUUGUUUGUGUGUAUCACUUUGCUACUAACCGUGCUUUAUACCUUUCAAAUGUCCCAUUAACCUUAUAUUUUAUUUUGAAUAUCCAUUUGCAACCUAUGGAUAUUUUUUCCUUAGGUAGGAGAGUUGUCUGCCAUGUUUGAUUUGACUCCAAAGCAGAUAUCUCACAUUGUAUGGCUUUUCUCCAACAGUCAUGUUUCACAACUUCAGAAUAAGUAUUCGACUGAACAUGUGAAAAAGAGACAUAACAAAAGAUGUGUAAGAAGGUGAUAAUUUGUUAUAAAACAAAACAAAGUUCAAAGGAUACUUAACUCUUAAAGAUGUAUUGGAAACCUUAAGAUUACAAUGAGAAUCUUUUAGAUACUCAAGUGGUCUUUUUAUUCUAGUACUCAUUCAAACAAACUGAUGAUUCAAUAUUUUGUUUUGUGUCAUGAUCUUCAUUGAUGUUUUGGUCUAUAUGGGAACAAACUUCUUCUGGAACCUCAAUGUCUAAUUCACAAUUAUUAUUAUUGUUAUUUUCAACAUUAUCACAAAGUGCAAGAAUGGCUUGUGAUAGCUCACUCAAAACAGGUUGAUCUUCAGUAAAAAAAAAUUGAUCAUAAAUGUUAGGACGGUUAGUUUCAUUGCUAGUAUCUUGAAAAACAUGUUCAUAGAAGACAACAUCGCUAGACAAAAAAAAUUAUCUGGAUUGAAUAUUCAACAAGACAUAUACUUUUGUCCCCCUUUUAAAACCAAUAAAAAUACAUUUUGAUGUCCUUGGAUAAAUUUUUCUUUUGUUUGUUGACAAAGUGUUAGCAUAACAUAAAGAUCCAAACACCUUUAAUGCAAUAAAAUCUGCUGUAGUUUUGUAAAGCAUUUCAUGAGGAGAAGAAUAAUUUAAAAUAGGUGUUGGAAGCAUGUUUAUAAUAUGUGCAACAUGUAUCACGAAAUAUGAGCAAUAAUUUUGGGUAAAUGAGAUUUUUUCAUGAGAGUUCUUGCUACAUUUAAUAUAUGACCAUGUUUCAUUUCAACUAUGUUAUUUUGUUGUGGAGUAUUGACACAUGAUGUUUGAUGCACUAUUCCUUUCUUAACAAAUAAAUUAGUCAUGAAAAUUUAGUUCCAUUAUCAUUUCUUAUUAUUUUUAUUGUUGUCUCAAAUUGUGUUUGAACAAAAACAACAAAAUUUUCCAAAGUCUUAACAAUGUCAGAUUUUUGUUUUUAAAGAAAAAUACACCUAUACCUCAAAUAUUCAUCAACGGUCAAGAAAUAUUUAUGAUCAUGAAUUGAUGGUAUUGAGUAUGGUCUCCAUACAUCUACAUGAAUCAAUUCAAAACAUUUUUUAGAAUUAGAUGUAGUAAUAGAAAAUAAAAGUCUUUUUUGAUUUGCAAAAUGACAAACAUCACAAACAAUAGAUUUGUUAUAUUUAACAAAAGGAAAUUUAGUCAUGAUAACAUCAAUACAUUUGUUUGAAACAUGCCUUAAUCGAAAAUGGCAAAGGGUUUCUAUAUCACUAGCACUGACUUUAACAGUAUUGAUGGUAUGUGCAUAUUUGAUGGGUUUGAUUUGAAGUUCUUGAUAGGAUGGGAUCUUGAGUAUAUAAAGUCUAUCUUGCAUCUUAGGUGAACCAAUUAUUUUCAAGAAAUUCUUUCUCUGAAUGUGAUAACCAUAAGAGUCAAAGGUGAGAACACAAGAUAAAUUAUCAAUCAAUUUUGCUACUGAAAAAAAAAAUUAUUAGAAGUGAAACAAGGAAUAUACAUAACAUUGUCUAUGACAUCAUUUUGAUUGAGAAAAAUACUUCUAUAAUAAUUGGCAAUGACUUGAUUUCCAUUUGGUAAUUUGACAUAAAUAGGAAUUAAUUUGAUGAUAUGAAGUGAAAUGAGUUAAGGAUGAACAAAUGUGGUUAGUAGCACCACUAUCAAGAAUCCAAGAACUGAAAGAAGAAAGAAAUUUCUUAACUGUUUGUUUUGUCAUGUUGGAAGGAAUAACAAAAACUUGAUUAGAAACAUUGGCACUAAAUUUCAACUGUUGUAAAAGGAAGACAAAGGAUAUGAAAAUGAAUAUUUAUUCUAUUUUAUUUUCCUUACUUAAAUCAAAGCAAAGAUUCUAAAUAUAUACAAGCAGUACACUCAUCCUAGGUCUAGCUAAAGAGACAAAAUGUAAAAUAAAGAACCAAUAAAGACUAGAAUAAGAAAAGACAAAAUAAAAGUUAGACAUAUAUACAAAGAGAAACAACUAAAAAUUAGAAAAAAUAAAAUUAAUAUUAACUUUCUUAUAGAACAUUGUCCAUAUCCUUUGUUAUUAAUUUCUAUUGGUUUAUAUCUUUUAUAAAAACUUUUCUUUCAUAUAAUUCUAUGUUUGAAAGAGAGUUCAAUCACAUACAUGUCUUCUAUUUUAUAUAAUAUUUUUUACUGUUGAAAAAAAAAUAUAUAAUAAAAUCAGAUGAGUUAAAUAAGAAUGUUAAAAUGUUAUUUAAAUAUAUAAAAUUUUAAUUUUAAUUUUAAUAUAUAUAUAUAUUAUAUUAAAAUGUGAAGGAAUACAAAAUUAAAGAUGACAAAUUCUUCUAGAAUUUUAGAAAUUAUUCAAAUAUAAAUUAUUUCUAUAGUAUAAAACAUGAGCUGACAACUCACAAACUUUUCGCAAUUAUAUAUAUGUUACAACAUUUUCAAUGUCAACGAGCUUUGCAAUAACAUUUAAAUACAUAUUAUUGUGUAAAAUCCACCCUUAUACUAAAGCCAUCAAACUUUAAGCUUGAAUAACACACACGGCUCUCAUAAGAAAUAACAACAACAUAUGCAGAUUAACAUAACUACAUCAUUGGUAUUUUUAUUUACUAAAAUGGUAUUCCUUUAACUGACCAUUGGCACUUUUAUUUAUUUUGCUCAGUCAAAUUUAUGCUAAAAUCCCAUAGCUUCUUAGCCAAAUCCAUGUCCCUUCCCUGCAAAGAAGCUUCUGAAACAUUAUUAUCUGCAAAAUAUUUGCCAUUGAUUCCACUCACUUGUGGGUGCAAUGCUAAAUAGCAUGUUGUUGAUGCUCCCUAUCAUCAUGUAAAACACAAAGAUAGUAAGAAAAAACUUAUAUUUAAUAGUUAAGAACCUAAAAUGAUAUAAUUUAAAAAAAUGCAUAAAUAAAAAAUUGGUUUUAUAUGUAAAGAUAGAAGUUUUCAAGUUAAUGCAUUUUAAGUCUAUCAAUAUUCUUAGAUUAUUAUUGUGGUUUAACUUACUUGCUGCAUAUUUUUGAGCAGAAAUCCCUCUAAGUUAUUUAGAAAUGGACUUAGCAUAUCCUUCAAACCUGCGUAAACCAUACAAAUACAGAUAUAAAACUCAACAUUUAUCACUAUUGCAAAAAUAGUAUAUAUAAAAUCUUCCUAUAAAAAAAGUUUAACAUGAUCGUUGUAAUUGAACACGCAGUACGGAGAAAUUCAAGUUUUAGGUGUGAAAGAUUAAUUAUUACCAUAAAAAAGUCAUUAGUUUAUAUUAUUAAUGAAUAUUUUUUAAAUUGAUAUCUAAUUUGCUAUCAAUGUUUUAGCUACCAACUUUAGAAUCUAAAUAAUUGGUAGCUAACUAUCUACAAAUUUAGAAACUAUUAAUCAAUAGAAACUAAUUUAGAAACCAAUAAUUUUUUUAGUCUCUAAAAUAAUAUUUAAUUUAGUGAACAUAGCAACUGAUUAUUUUUUUAUCUCUAAAAUUGAUUUUUAUUUGAUGUUUUUUUAGUAGUGUGUACAUGAAAAGGGUAUGUGUAGAUAGUGGGAUUUGUGGGGAGAGAAGAAUAUUCCUAUGGCGAUUACAAAUGUAUGUACUAUGUAAUUUAGUUGUGAAAAGAAUGUUGUGAGAGAAUUUAGUUGUUACAAAUGCGUACGACUCUGUCGGGUGGAAUUUCCUAUAUGAUAUGCUGUAGAGGUUGGGAUUCCAUACUAAAUGGAUUUUAUGGAUCAGAAGGUGCAUGGAAUCCGCUUCGGUUUCUAUUUUGGUAAAUGGCAACCCAACUGAUGAAUUUAAAUCGAUGAGAGGGUUUAGGAAGGGUGAUCCCUUAGUGCCUUUCCUUUUUAUAAUAGUAGUUGAAGGCCUUGUUGGGUUAGUCAGAAAGGCUGGAAAGGCCAAAAUGCUAUCAGGUAUGAAGGUUGGAAGGAAUGCGAUAGAGUUCUGCAUGCUCCGAUUUGCUGACGAUACACUUUCUCUAUGUGAAGACUCCUUUUGUAAUCUUGAAGGCUAUUCUGAAGGGAUAUGAACUUGUAUCAGAUAUGAAGAUUAUUUUCCAUAAAUCGAAGGUGGCAGACAUAAAUGUUGAAAGGAAUGCUAUGGAAUACUAUGCAAAGACCUUAAAUUGUACAUAGAUGUCGUUGGCAUAUGGAAUUUGCUUGAAUAAAUCCGUUUUCACAGCCUUACCCCUCUUCUAUCUAUAAUUCUUUAAAGAGCCGGAAUCAGUUUGUAAAAGCAUCACCAGCAUCUCUAAAUGAGGUUCUUGUGGGGGUGAAAGAAGGAGGAAAGAUCAAUAUCAUAGGUAACAUGGGAGGAUUUUUGUAGACUUAAAGAGGAAGGUGGGCUGGGUUUUUAAGGAUAUCAAAAAGUUUAAUGAAGCCCUCCUAGCUAAGUGAAGAUGGUGGUUCCUAACUAAAGAGAAAAGGAAAUGGAGUGCCUACUGGUUUCAAAGUGUGGCUCGGGUGUAGAUAGAAAUAGUACGCCGGUGAAGUUCCAUUCCUGGUGAUGGAGAGACCUAUCUAACGUCUAUCGUGGGGCAAGAGGAGGAUGGUUUUAGGAAGCAAUAGGCUGGAAAAUAGGAGCAAGUGAUAAGGUUAGAUUUUGGGAGGAUGUGUGGGUUGGCAACCUGAAUCUCAAAACAGUAUUCCUGAGUUUGUAUUCUUUAUCUCUGAACCAGGGAGAAAAGGUGGGUGAGGUUGGCGUGUGGGAAGAAUCAAAAUGGUGGUGGAGCUUGAGGUGGAGAUGUGCCAUGUUUGAGUGAGAAUCUCUCAUGGAAGAAGACCUUCUAAGGUACAUAUCUCUAACCAAUUUGAAUAAGGAGGUGAAGGACCUCCAGGUGUGGAGGAUUGAAGAAUCAAGGUUGUUCUCUAUGAGCUCAGUGUAUGUUCACUUAGCUAGUCUCGUAAGAGGUCCUCAUAAUGACCUCUUCAAGUGCUUAUGGAAGGUAAAAGCGCUACCCAAUGUGUUGAUUGCGGCUUGGAGGGUCUUGCUAGAUAGAAUUCAAACAGGAAUGGCUUUGAGUAGGAGAGGAGUGUCGGUGAAUACUCCCAUAUGUCCUAUGUGUCAGGCUAAGGAGGAUUCAAGUCAACAUUUGUUCUUAGAAUGCAUAUAUGCACAGAGGGUUUGGUCUUUGUGUUUUAGGUGGAUUGGCAUUUUAUUUGUGAAACACAAUGAUUUGAAGUGCCAUAUGAGAAUUUUCAUCUGGCUCAGGUGAGUAGCUAACGAAACUUGGUGUGGAAAGGUUUUGGGGCAACCAUAGUGAGGUGUAUCUGGGAACAAAAAGAUUGUGUUAUAUUCAAGGAAGGGGUAGUUGAUGCGGAAGAGAUUCUUCACAUGGCACAACUUAAAUCUUGGUUGUGGAUGAAAUAUAGGAUUCAUUCAUUCAAUUACUCCUUUGCGGACUUGGUCUUGAAUCCCCUUCCAUGCAUUAGAAGCUAUAAGUAAGCGUGAAGGGUUACAGGAAGCAAAUAUAGAGGGAAGAGGUUGAAUUUAGGGGAACUUAUAGUACACAAAGGAAGUUCUUUUUUAAAGGGCGUUGAAGUGUCUAGGAGCAUUCAGACAGGGGGUAGGAUUUGAGUAUGAAUGAAUAGUAUGUAGGAUGCUGAUGUGUGUAUAUCUGGUGACCACAUUUGUCUCUUUGCAGUAGCACAAUGCAGAUUGAGGAUUUGGAAAUUGGUUCAGCUAGGUGGAGUGAACAUGAACCAUUGCAGCUUUGACUAAUAUCUACCUAGCGCUGUUGUGAAUUUUCUAGCAGAUUUAAUAGGUAUGAAGUAAUAAGUUGGAGUCUCUGUUAGGUGUAAUAGGUGUGUUACAUUUGGUUAGGUUGUGUGUUUCUGAAAUCUUUGUUUUGUUAUGGAAUGGUGUGGUGUAUAAGUGGAAAAGAAGGAGCAAAUUAUGGUAGGAGAGGUGUCUGACACAGGGAUCAAGUUGUCACCUACAGGGUGUUGCCUCUGCUCUCUUGGUUCUGCUAUAUCAUUCCACGUAACUCUUUAGCAUAGUGCCACCAAUCCCUGCUUGUUUUUCUGCAGCUAUGUGCUAUCUAUGAUGCAGAUUAGUAAAGCAGUUGCCAUUGUGAUACAGGGUUUUUAAGCUGCCAACUUCAGGGUUCAUGUGUUGGUUUUUUUCACAAUGUUUUCUGCAUUUGUACCCUACUUCUAAGGCAUUUUGCAGCUAUGUGCGAGUGAAGUUUUAAGGAGCUACAGAAUUAUACAGCAGUUGCAGCAAAUCAAUAUGGAGAAUGCAUUGGAGGAAGGAAGAUGAAGAAGAAUGAGCUCUUAGGUAAGCCUUGACAACAUAGUUGCUGUCAAGAUUUUUCACAAUUUGAGGGCAGUUUAGUUUGGUGUAUGGUGCAACUAUGAAUUUCUUUGCAUAAGGGACCUAGUUAACUUCUUUUAUAGAGCUUGUUUUAUGGAAAAGCCUAAGUUUAUUAUCUGUUGUGUUAUAACUGUUAGUUUAAGCUAGCUGACAGGCUUUGAUCUUGUUACUUGUAAUAGGGUUGGGACCCUCCUGAAGUGUCCCCUCUAAUUAAUUUAUUCUUUGUUGAUAAAAAAAAAAUAAUAACACAGCUGCUAAGAGUAUAAUUGAUUGGAUAUUUGUGUUGCAUAAAUGGUGGAUGAUUGUAAUAAGAUUUAUGCACUUGAUAGAACUGUGUUACAUCAUUCCUUACUAUUCAAGAACACAAUUAUUGAUUGGGGACCCAAACAUUUAAGGUUAUGGAUUUGUGGCAGAAGGAGAGAUGAUAUAUAAAAAAUGUUUGGUAUAUAAAGUAGUUUCUAUUAGUAAUAAAAAUUUAUAAAGUAGUUUCUAAAUUGGUAUCUAACCAUUAGCUACCAAGGUUUUAACUACUAAUUACUUUAUAUUCUAAAAGUCUCUAUUAGUUUUUUAAAGACUAAUUUAGAAUCUAAAAUAUUAGUAGUUAAAACCUUGGUAGCUAAUUUAAACACUAAUUUAGAAACCAUUUUAUAAAUUUUUACUAAUAUUAGAAAUCACUUUAGAUACCAAUAAUACUUUAGUCUCUAAAAUAAUAUUUAAUUUAGUCAAUAUAGUGACCAAUUAUUUUUUGUUUCUAAAUUUGGUUGUUAUUUAAUGAUUUUCUUGUAGUGAUAUAUUAUGAAUGAGAAAAUGAAAUAAUUGAAGAAGAACCUGGAAGUGUGAAAUAGAGACAACUUUUGGAACAUAAUAGAGAUACAAUAGAGAACACUUCAAAGAAAAAAGUUAUUUGGAUAAGUUUGAUGAGGAAGAUAAUAUAGAACAAAAAGGGUCGAAGGAGAGAAUGAAGCUAAUGGUAGAAUUAAGAAAAAUUAGUUGUAGGUAUGAAUGUUGAUCAAACAAAAAGCAAGAGAAAAAUGAGUUACUAAAAGAAUUCAAACACAAGGUAAUUUCCAUGCAACUAUAAAUUAGAGGUGGAUUAAUAAUGGAAUAAGAUAUAUUUAAGGAGAAAAUUAAAAAAAAAAAAAUAUAUAUAUAUAUAUAUAAGGAGAAAAAAGAUAUAAAAAUAAGGCUACAAGAUGAAUAAAGUAUAUUAAAAUAGUAAAUGAAGUCUUGUUGUUGAAAUGGAAAUGGAGGCUGAUGACUAAAAAUCUGGAUGUGGAGGGAGAUUUUGAAAUCCAAAUGUGGAAAUUGGAGGAACAUAAAGAAGGACAAUAAGACUAAAUAUGAUUCAUUGUGGAGGAAGGAUUUGGGAAAGGUAUGCAAAAUAGAAGGAACAACAAAAUUUGUUUGAUGCAAAUGUUAUUUGGAAAGUGAAUUCUGAGAGCACAGUCAACUUUUGGAGAAAUAAAUGGCUAGGGAAACUCCGUUCUACAUGAAAUAUCCUAGGUUGUUUUACAAUGCAACUCUCAAAGAUGCUACAAAUACAAAUUUAGGUUGUUGGGUAAAGGAGAGUUGAAAAUUGGAUUUUCAGUGGAGAAGAAGUUGGUAUCAAUGGAAAUUAACUUAGGUCAAUUAGUUGAUGUAGGAAAUAGAAAGUACUAAACUAGUAGUAGCCGGAGGGGAUGGUUUCAUAUGGAUGGGUGAUGAAUAUAUUGUCAAAUUUGCAUACGAAAUGAAGCAAGAAAUAUAUAUGAUCAAAUCAUCUAAUAUGUAUAUAACAUUGUGGAAAAGUAAAGUUAUACCUUCAAGAGUAUGUUUAGCAUGGAGACGGUUUGAAGUUAGGUUACCAACUAAGAUAAUUUAGAACAUAUGGAGAUUACAUGUGAAGACUAAUUUGUCUGUUAUGUGCGAUGUUGAAGAAGAGACAACAAAUAGUAUAUGGAUUUGGUGCUAGAAUUGGUUGGGAACACUUGUGGUUUCCCAAAAAAAACUCCAAGGGAUCACUUCCUUAUGUUUACGAUAUAAGGUAAGUAAGAAAAGAAACAACAUUUGGAGAACAAUGUGUCUAGUUGUGAUAUGACAUAGUGUAUUUGGAAACACAAUAAAUUUUAUAAACCAUUAAAUAAUAUUACAAGAAAAAUAUUAAAUAGAAAUCAGUUUUAGAAUCUGAAUAAUUUGUAACUAACUAGAUACUAAUUUAGAAACUAUUUAUGGAAACUAAUUUAGAUAUCAAUAACUUUUUCAAUUUCUAAAAUAGUAUUUAAGUUAGUCAAUAUAAUAACUAAUUUUUUUUUCUAAAAUUGAUUUGUAUUUCAUGAUUUUUUUUAUGGAUUGAAAUACCGAAAGUAUUUUAUUUAUAUAAUUUUCUUUUAAUGAUAAAAAAGUGAUAUAUACAUGUGAAUUGUGUUUGGAAAGAUGUAGUCUAUUGUAUUUACUAAGUUUGAAUUCAUUAAAUACAACAACGAAUUGAACACAAUUAGUUUCAUUUUCCAACCAAUAUUAAUUGAUUAUGUAUAAAAUAUAAGAUUAAAACAUCAAAAGUACAUUAAUUAAACUUUUGGAAGAUAGUUAAAAGUAUAACAUUAUACAGAUAUAAAUUACUUAUUUAACAAUUUAAAUAGGGUUAUGAUAAUUUUCAUGUAGACUAUUAACUUUAUAAAUAUAUUAUAAUUACCUUUCAAGAAUCGAUUAUGAAGAUAUAUAUUUGUGCAAACAACUCCUGGAUGAAGAGAAUUGGCAGUAAUAUCUAUUCCAUCUUCCUGGACAAUUGCAAUAUUAACCAAGUGUUAUAUUUAAUACAUCAUAUUAUUUAUUAAUUUAAAAAAUUACAUAAGAAACAAGAACAACAACCAUUAACUGUUAUAUGUUUUCAUUUAUUUUCCUAAGAAUACAAUUUUUCAAAAAUAGAAAAUAAAAUGUUAUUAGGUGAUACUUUUAUUGCCAAAAAUUAAAAUAAAUAUUUUUUGUCAAAUAAAAUGGCCUCUCCCUCUUAAAGACCAAAAUACUAAUUAUUAGCAAUAUAUACUUUUGCCAAAUACUUGUUAAUAAUUACCUACUGAAAGGAUAUGCAAUUUCAACGUAAGUGACAUCAAAUUUAAUUUAGUUUCAACAUGAGAUUUGACUUCUCCAAUCCUCUAGUAGUCAACUUGUACCAUAAUUAUACAAAGGUUGUUUACGAAUAAAAAUGACACUCAAUUUUAAAACACUAAUAUAUACACUUUUAUGUAAAUCACUAGCUAUUUUACUUGGUAGCGAGAUCCUUCACUUUAUACAAACCUAAAAGAAAUGUUAGGACUAGAAUUGACAGAAUAUUAAUUACCACAAAAUGGUUAGAUGUAUAGGAAGUGCAUACUCUUUCCAAGACAGAAAUAAGAUUACAGAAAUAAGAUACUAAUAAUAUGUUGACAAUCCUGCACUAUAUAUAUUACAAAUUAAAAAGAAAAAUAAAUUUUUGUUUAAAUAUGGACCCCACAUUUAGAGAUUGAAUUUUUUUUUAAAUUGCAAUGUGUCACAUCACAAUUGUAAACUUAUGCAUUGUCAAAGUAACAUUUUCUAUUUGAGAUUAUUUUCUUAUUGUUUUGGUGGACAAAAAACAAGAUUAGAGACCUAAGUCUUUUAGGAUAUUAGAUGGUUGGUUAAAAGUAAACAAUUUUAAAACUUUUGUAGACACUGAAUGGGAAACUCUCUAGCAACAAGGUUCUCUAGGUUUUGUCUUAAAAGAGAAACUAAAGGCUUUGAAAAGGUAAACUAAAUAGUGGAUUCAAUAGCUGUUUGGAAGCAUUAAUUUUUUUUCUGAUCGGCAAAGAAUAAAAUAAAUUAAUGUGACGUACUUAAGAGGUGCUUCAACCCUUAUACAAAAAAUACAAGUUAUUAGUCUACAAUCAAUCCUAUAGUCCACAAAUAACAAAACAACAACCCAAUAAUAAUAAAAUAGUUGUAUUACAACCUUUAAAACUGGUCUAAAAGGGAAACCAAUUACACAUUUCUACUAUAUGUUUUCAUAAUACGAAGAUACCUACAAGUUAAAUCAAAUCAGGUGUUUAUAAAUCACAUCAACUUUGUGAAAUUAGCUUCUCCUUUUGAAGACAAAGAUACACGAAACAAUGUAUCAUAUUGUGAGUAUUAAUGAACGAUACUCAAAUGUUACGAGAGAAAUUACUGAGAUAGAUAAAAAUGGAGGAAGUACAAAGGCUUAGAGUUGAGGAAUAUGAAAUAAAAGAAAAUUGUAGGAAAAAUUCUAGCAAGUGACUACAUAUUGUGAGUCUUUGGAACGAUUAUCAUACAAAGAAAAUGAUGAAGAAUAACAUGAUGAUCUAAGAAGAAAUUUGUUGUGUGAUGAUAGUGCUUAGUGCAACGAGGCAAUUAUUCUUAGGACCUACUAUGGUGCGGUAUGUAGAAUUAUAUGUUGUAUAAUGAAAGACUAAUUGGUGCAAUAGCUGUUGGAAAACAACGAGGAAUAAACAGGGUCGUAAAGGUUGUCUUAGUUGCAGCGUACCACCCUACCAUAGAAUUGGACUUGUUUUUUUCUCGGUUUGUUGGCUUGGUUCACGAUCCCUAUAUAUAUAUCAACAUAGAGGUAGAAAUAACAAUGUUGGAUACUGAUAAAAAAGGAGUAAAGUGUUAUACUUAGGCCAAAGAAAUCAUGUCUCAUAGAUGUUGUUGUUUGUAAUGUUUUUCUAAUGGAUCAAUUCAAGGGUUGCUUAUGGUCUACAAGAUUGGAUGGGAAUAUUAGUCUGGGUCUAAGUAUUUUUGCUGAUUGUGUUUGGUAUUAAUGAUGGAAGGUCCUUGUUGUUUCUUAUUAGGAUUCUCUGAUUUUGUGUUGUAGUUUUUGUAUAAGGGUUGAAAUAUUCAUAAAAUACCUCUAUUUUUUAUUUUAUUUUUUUGCUGGUUAAAACAAAUUGUGAGUCUCUACAGAGGCAAAAGACAAGAUUUAUGUGGCUUAAAGAAGAGGAUAUAGAAAUAAAUCUAUGCUUACAGAGUUGUAAAUCCAAGGAGGUUGGGAGUAAUGAUAAGUGCCAAAUUUCAGUAAUCUUUCAUAUUAAAAUAUAGGCACUUAUGGAUAUUAAUGUUAAAAUAAGUAUAAAAUAACCCUAAAUAUAUGAAAUUAUACAUUUUUACAUAUUUUGUGAUUUUAAUUUAAAUAAUAACGAUUUAUUUCCAAAGUUGUGUUAAUUUCAGGAUUCCAAGAAGAAUGGGGAUAACUGAGCAAAAAGAGAAUAUACAAAGCUAAAAAGGGAAAGUUGGAAUGCACCAGUAUCACCAAAGCUGCCCCAAACUCGCAAAAAGCCAAGACGCCAUCAGUGGAUCUCGCAUGAGUGAGAUUGCUCUAGUAACCUUAGGUCUUUUUAUGUUUUACUCGCCCAAGUGAGCCCAUUAGUGCCCAAGCAAAUUAGGUUAAAUAGGAGGCUUGAGGCACAACCCUAGUGUGCAAGAUUGAGAGGAAAACACCAUUGAGUGAAUUGUAAACCAAUUGGGAGAAUAGGAGGUGUGAGAAACAUUAGAGGAGGCAGUCGUCAAGGAGAAACAUAUUGGAUCUUCUUUUCAUGCUCUCCCUGCUUGUAACAGUCAUCAUGUGUGGCUAUUUCUACCCUUUGGAAUUGGAACCAAUAUGUUCAAACUCUUAUGUAUUGAGGUGAUAUCUAAACAUAAUAUUAUAUUCUUAAUUGAUGAUUGGUAUUAUCAUUUUGUUUGUAAUGCUUGGUUUACCAUGAUCUAUAAUCUUAAAUUUGACUGGAAAGUACUUCUAAGGUUCUGACCUAAAUGAUAAUACUUAACAUAUUUGAAUGUUAGGAAUAGAUUUGAAAUGUUAAUUGUUAUCAACUUUUGAUCUUAAUGAUAAGUUGUUUUAAUAAAUAUGCGAGUAAUCGAUAUUUAGGAAGCAUCUUAAUAAUUUUAUAUGCGAUGAAUCAAUAUAAAUGAUUUUUAUACAGGCAUCAAUAUCAAUCAAAGGACACAAUAUCGUCAUGCUAAUCAAGAUACAAAAAGAGUGAGAAAGAUGAAACCCAAUCACUAUUUUCCAAUUGAAGCAACAAACUCUUUUGACUUUUUUUCUAAUUAAUAAUUGUCAUCAUAACAAAUCUCAAUAAACUUUUAUUAUUCUGUUUUAUAUUUAGUGAAUAUUUUACUUGAUUAUUCAAUUGUUCCUUGUCACUUCGAUAUCAAUCUUUAGGGACAAAUUAUUACUUUUGACCACGCGGUGCACUUAUCGUAGAAAAGUCAUCAAGUAACCAAUGGGGAUAAAGGAUACUUAGAGUGGAUUUCUUGUGUAUAAAUGAGGGUUAUAAUAUAAUGCUUUCACAAGUAUGUAUGAGCUUCAACUGAGAAUGUGAAUGUGGAGAUGAGAGUAUGGAGCCUCACAAAUUAAUUUGAAGUUAGUUUUAAGAAAGUUGUAUUGGUUUUAAGAUUCACUUUGAGAAAUCAUGAUUUGGUGGAGUGGAAUCUUCUUAUGUAAAUGUUGAGAAUAUUGAAUUUUUAUGAGAAAUGGAUUUUGUGGAUUAUUAGGUGCCUAAAAUCAAACUUAGUACCACAGUGAGAUGUGUGGAUUUUCUUGUUCCUAGUGAAUUGAUAUGAAUGUAUACUAAAGUUUGUUAAUAUUAUAGUUGAAACUACUUUAAUUUAUUGUAUGUUUUUAAUCUCUUCUUGUUUUUAAUAAUAUUCUUCAAUUUAUUGUGGUAUUAGUUUGUUGUGAUGUUCUUGUUUGGUGGAUUUAGUGAAAAUCCAUAACACCUAUCAUUUUGAAAUUUGGUAGCAAGUUAAUAGGGUUUCCUUUGCUGGAAGUAUAUUUUGCAUAGUUUUGUCCUGUAUCUUUCUUGUGUCUCCGUUUAAAUUCCAAAACAAUAGUUUGAAAAAACUUCAAAUAAUUUAAAACAGGUUUUUUUGUGGGGAGCAAAAGAAAGAUUCAUUGAGUAGUUGGGAGAAAGACUAUUGUACAAAAGGAGUGGUGGUAUCAGGUGAAGGAUCUAACAACUUUUAACGAAAUGCUUCUAAGAAAUUAAUGCAAAUGGUUACUACAAUUUAGAGGAAAAACCCUACAGUCCAAAAUCUCAAAUUCUAAGUAUGGAGGGUGGAAAAACAUGUUAGUUGGUAUUUAUUUACUUCUAAAUUAAACAUAACCACUCUUUUUUAGGGAUUUUUAGUAUGUGCAGAUAGAAAUUAAAUAUUUUUUUUCUUUUGAUUUUAUAAAAUGGUUUGGUACUAAUUGUGAUGUCUAUUGUUGAUAAAAAAAAUAUAAACAAAAACAUUUUUUCUUCAUAGUUAAUUUUUUUUAUUAAUUAAUCAAUUGAAAUAAUGAAAAAUUUACUAUGGUAAAACCUUGAAACGUCUUGCAAGUUCUUUGGCAUGUAAAAUGUUAGCAAGCUUCGAUUGCCUAUAUGCACGCCAAUUGUUGUAACUGCACAUAAGAAAGUAAAUGAAUUAUGAAAAACACGAAUAUUUUGCCAUUAUAAUUUUGUAUGUUUGCAUGCUGAUAUGUAAGAAUCAUAACUUAUUGGUUGUAAUAAGGUUGAAGUAUCUCUAAAAUACUAUAUAUUUAUUUAUUCAUUUUUUUUGCUGACAAAAGAAUGUUUACAUGUUGAAAUAUUUUUAUCUUAAAAAAUAUAGAAAUAAAUUAUAAAUGAUAAGGAAAUGAUUUUUGUGUAAGUCAUCAAUAAGUAUUAAGAAGUGAAUUUUAAGCCUAACUCAACUUCAUAAAAUUGGCUUAUAAGGUGAUGUUUGCACUCACUUAUAUAUUAUGAAAUGUCCUUAUCUCUAUUCAAUGUGGGAUCUCCAACACACCUCUUCACGACGAGACUUGCCAACUCGUGUGUGAGACUAUAUAUUUAUGGGUAGUACGAUAGCGGCCCGAUAGUAGGUUGCUUGAUAAGUCCAACAAACUCUUGCUAGGAUGCACUCUAGAUGGUUUUGAUACCAAAUUAAGAAUUGAAUUUUAAGCCUAACUCAACUUCAUAAAAUUUUCUUAUAAGGUGAGGUUUGCAUUCACUUAUAUAUUAUGUAAUGUCUUUAUCUUUAGUCGAUGUGAGAUCUCCAACAAUAAAAAAUAUAUUCAAAAGUUGGUAAGAAAAUUACCACAAAUAAUAAAAAUUUAUAUUAAUGGUUAUUUUAGUUGUGGACAUUAGGCCAACCCUAAUAAAAUCAAUUUAGUUCCAUCAACAUAAAAACAUACACUAUAUUGAUGUUUCCUAUGUGACAUUUUAGUUUUCAUUAAGAAAGUUGAUGUUAUUUCUUUUAUGGCUUUUUAGUGAAAAAGUCAUGAAUCUAUUUUAUAAAAUUUUGUAUAAGAAUAUUUAUAAGAGAAAAGUAAGAAUAACAUAUUGAAAAUGUAUUCUUCAUAAAUUUAAAUUCAUUUAUACAUAAGUAAAUUUAUAGAAAAUAUUUCAUAUAACUUUUCCAAAUUUUACUUUUAAUUUAUGCAUAAAUUAAUUUUAUCUUAUAUAAAAAUAAAUUUAUUUUUUACUUUAUAUUUUUUAUUAUGUUUUUUACUAAAAUACUCCUAUAAAAAAGUCUCAAUAAUCAAUAUGUUAUUGGUAUUGAUAUUCAACUCAAUUUUUUAACAAUGUUUUGAUUCAAGAUCUGCUGAAGAAAAAACAAUAUUUAGGAGAAUGGACACGUUAAAAGUGAUUAAUCAACUUUUUUAGAGUAGAUAAUUUUAACUGAAUAUAUAAUAUAGUUAUACAAAAAAAAAAUUGUUAACAAUGACUUUAAAAGGUUUUGGUAAGCAUGAUGUUCAUUGUGUUUGUGAAAAGGAGAAAGUUUAAGACGUGAAAGGGUAUAAGAUGUGGAGGUUGGAGUUUGAAGAGGCUAGAUGCUUUGUUAGUAGGAACUUCACAUUUGACAAAACUCAAAUGACUAUUAUAGUGGGAAGGAGAAAAUCCACAUUGAGGGGAAUCCUUCUAAUGAUGGAUUAGACCGUCUAGAGGUGCCAAACAAUGAAUCAUUAGACAAUGUAAACUAACAUUUCUAUCUCUUAGUCAAGAAGGCCCAAAUGUACAGAGGUUGAGUCUGACUAUGAACUUGUGUGUGAUAUAGAGAGGAGGAGGAUCAAAUAUGCACAAAGGUUUGGGCAUGUUGAUUUUAUCAACUAUAAUUUGACAACAACUAAAGAGAUAUACAAUUCGAAUCCUAGAAUCUUCCUGAAGGAGGCUAUAGAUUAUGUAUAAGGUUUGCAAUGACAUCUUGGCAUGGAGGAGAAGAUUGAAUCUCUGAGGAAGAACCACACAUGGAUGCUUGUUGAUCUACCGAAAUACUAGAAGGUGUUAGGAUGCAAGUGAGGGUUCAAGAAAAAAGAGAGAAUAUCAUGUGUGGAAGGGUAGAGGUUCAAGACUAGACUAGUGGCGAAAUGGUUUAAAUGAGUCAAGGGGGUAGACUAUAAUAAGAUAUUCUCACAUUUGGUAAAAAAAAUUCAAUAAGGAUUUUGAUGUCUAUUAUUAACCUAUACAAUCUAGUGUUGGAACAGUUAGAUGUGAAGACAACUUUUUUGCAUGGAAUCUUGGAGGAGACCGUCUACAUACAGUAACCUAGAGGGGUUGUUGAAGAAAAAAGGAAGAUAUCUCUUGAAGAAAUCACUUUAUGGCUUUAAACAGAGUCCAAGGUAGUAGUACAAGGGAUUUGAAGACUUCCUAAGGCGGACAAGGUUCUAGAGAAGCAGUUAUGAUAGUUGCGUCUACAUCCUAGAGAAGAAAAGUAUAUAUUUAUUUUUGGUCUUAUAUCUAGGCAAUAUUCUUAUAGCCAACUAAUAUGAAAAUGAAUUGAAGGAGUUUAAAGAAAAAUUAAGCUCAAAGUUUGAAAUAAAGGAUCUAGGUCACGCAAGGCGAAUACUAAGAAUAAACAUACAAAGGGAUUAAAGAGUUGCAAUAUAACGUCUAUCUCAGCAAGGAAAGUUGAAGAAGGUGGUUGAGAGGUUUAGGAGGCAUGAAUAUUAACUUAUGGGAACAACUUUGGGACAUCAGACAAAGCUCUCAAUUACCCAAGCUCCUAGUAUUAAGAUAGAAAUGAGGGAGAUGAAGACUACUAUAUUGUAUGGGAUGAUCUGUAGCAGACCAUUUGGAACAUGUUAUUAAUAUGGUUAUAAUAUUCAUGGUAGGUCAUGAACUGCACAUUGGGAGGCUUUAAAAUGGUUGUUGAGAUAUUUGAAUAAUGGAACAAUAUCGUCUAACCUAGGCGAUUUAUGCAUAACAAAGUUGUUAUAGAGUGAUUUGUAAACGUUGAUUAUACAGGGAAUGUUGAUACCAUAAAGUCACCUAUGUGUAUCCUUUUACAUUGUUUGGUAUUGCAAUUUUCUGAAAAUACAGUUCGUAAUCAGUGGUGGUUUUAUCUACUACCCAGGCAGAGUAUAUCGCGCUCAGAGAGGAGGUGGAGAAGCUAUAGUGAUUGAAGCGAAUGAUUGGAGAGUUGGGUAUUGUGUAGGCCUGUGUGACUAUUUAUUAUGAUAGCCAAAGUAUCAUACAUAUAGUUAGUCAUUAGAUCUACCAUUAGAGGAUGAAACAAAUAGAUGUUAGAAUGCACUUCGUGAGUGACAUUGUUGAGUCUAGGGACGUUAGAAUAGAAAAGAUAGCCUUGGGGGAAAAUCCUACAUAUGUUUUAUGAAGUCCUUCCUAAGAUCGAGGUUUAGAUAGUGUUUAAAGUGGAUUAAUUUGUUGUUAGAAGAAAAAGGAAGUUGAUAUUGGAAGCUCUUUCAUAAUUUGGAGUAAAGGUGGAGAUUUGUGAUGGUUUGGUCUAAAUCAUGUGCAAUAGACAAUCUUCUGUAAAGAUCAUUCAGGUGAUUAGACCAUAUGAUGAAAGAGAGCAGAAGACCAUCUACUAGAGACCAUCUAGUGCAAGCAUUUAUUAGGCUUAAUUGUCUUAAUCAUUUUAUUAUUAUUACUUUAUUUUAGGUUUUAUAUAUCAAUAUCGUUAUGAGUAUGGACUGUACACUCUAAACUUAUUAGACUAUGUGUAUAAAACGUUUUCGUGUUAAUAAAAGUGUUUUAUUUGUUCUUCUUGUUUGUUAUUGUUGAUAACCUAACAAUUUCAACUUUAAAGAUCACUCUCCAAAUAUCUUUUUUUUUUUAGAAGAAAAGGAAAGUUUGGGAGAAUUUUAACGAGGGAGUGGUUAGAUUUCAAUUUUAGCACCCUUUCUCAUAAAAGCAUUAACAUAAUUGAUACUUACUAAAAAAAUAUAUUUUACACAACUAGCAUAUUGUCAUAUGAUUGAUUCAAGAUGAAUCUACUUCAUAAAUUUGAACUACAUUUUACCUUGAUGGAUCAUUAAUUUUCUCAAAAUGGAUUCCUCCAUGAUACGUAAAUCGAUGACCUGCUGAAGAUACAUUAACAAUUCUCCCUUGUACCUUACUUUCUCUUGUUGUUUUCUUCAUAUUAUCCAACAACAGAUUUGUUAGAUGAAAAUGACCUGGGAAAUUAUGUUGAACAAAAUGUAUAGAUUGAGAUUAUUUUUAAAAUUUUUCAACUUUAUAGAAAGAACAAAGUUAUUAGACAUUUUAUGGCAAAGGGUAAAAUGAAUAUGCAUAUAUUUCAUAUGAUAAUUACUUACAACCCCAAACACAACUAGUAUCGUAAAAGAAUAAUGUAAUGAAAUUUAGAUAAAUUAAAAAAUACCUAAAUAAUUUAUAGCAAAUUGAAGUUCAACGUUAUCCGUGGAUAGCAUGAAAGGGGCUGCACAAAUCCCUGCAUUGUUUCUUAGAAUUAAAAAAAACAAAUAAAUUAUUAUUAUUAUUACUAAAUUAUUUCAAUGAAUGAUCACGAUUAAGUAUUUGGAAGGAUAUAUGAAAUAGUAUAUGAAAGAAAAAGUUUAAUAAUGUAGUUGGUGCUUACAUCAAAAUAUUCAAUGGAAGACGAGUUGAAUUAAACUCAGUUGCAAAAUUUUGAACAGAGGCCAUUGAGCUUAGAUCUAAUUUCAUCACAUCAACUUUAGCUGUUGGAAUUUCCUUAAGUAUUGAUUCCUUCACAUUAUUUGCAUCAAUCAUAUCAAUUACUCCCAUAAUCACAUGCACACCACGCAAUGCAAGAACACGAGCAGUUUCAGCACCAAUACCACUUGAU
rnacentral:lncRNA from 1 species